UGCCUGUAACUCCGUCCAAUCGUUGAUGAAAUCUACGAGUGCCUGGGACUUGAUUGCCAUGCGGGGUAUAUAUCUGAGCCCGUGGGGUCCAAGCUCAAUGGCCCACUUGGCAAUCCGGCCAGUUGCCUCUCUGUUUUGAAUGAUGUCACCCAGAGGAGCUGAACUGACUACUGUGAUAGGAUGGCCCUGAAAAUAGUGUUUGAGCAUCCGGCUUGCCAUAAACACCCCAUACACCAGUUUCUGCCAAUGCGGAUACCUCUGCUUUGACUCAAUGAGCACCUCACUGAUAUAAUAAACCGGCUGUUGAACCGGUUACUCUUUGCCAGGCUCUUUGUGCUCUACCACAAUGGCUACGCUGACAGCCCGGGCAUUAGCAGCCACAUAUAAUAAUAAGGGCUAUUUAUCGAUCGGUGCUGCCAGCACGGGCGGUUCCACGAGCUGUUUCUUCUGAUCUUCAAACACCUUAUCAGCUGCUUCACUCCAGACAAAGUUAUCCGUUUUCUUGAGCAUCUGAUAUAAGGGAAUGGCCUUCUCUCCAAGGCGGCUGAUAAACUGGCUCAAGGCUGUAAUCCGGCCGGCCAGACGUUGCACAUCGUUAAUACACGCCGGUUUAGCCAAGGACGUAAUCGCUGCAAACUUUUCUGGAUUAGCCUCAAUGCCUCUAUUUGAAACCAGAAAGCCUAAGAGCUUGCCUGCUGGGACACCGAAAACACACUUCUCCGGAUUGAGCAUCAUCUUAUAGACCCGGAGAUUGUCAAAAGUUUCCCGUAGAUCAUCUAUCAAAGUCUCCUCCUUUCUGGAUUUGACCACAAUAUCAUCUACAUACGCAUGGACAUUGCGCCCAAUUUGCUUAUGAAGGCAAUUCUGAACACAUCGCUGGUAAGUUGCCUGGGCACUCUUGAGUCCAAAGGGCAUGGAAACAUAGCAGAAGGCUCCAAAGGGAGUUAUAAAGGCUGUCUUCUCCUGGUCCUUAACUGCCAUUUUGAUCUGAUGAUAACCAGAGUAAGCAUCCAAAAAAACACAAACGGUCACAACCCGCCGUAGCAUCAAUUAUCUGAUCAAUGCGAGGGAGAGCAAAGGGGUCUGCAGGGCAAGCCUUGUUUAAAUCUGUGUAGUCCACACACAUGCGCCAAGUGUCGUUUUUCUUAAGAACCAGCACCGGAUUGGCUAACCACUCUGGAUGAAAAACUUCAACAAUAAACCCAACAGCCAACAAACGGGCGACCCCUUCACCUAUAGCCUUGCGCCUUUCCUCGUUGAAGCGGCAGAGGAACUGUCGGACCGGUUUGAAUUUCGGAUCAAUGUUGAGUGUGUGCUCAGCGAGUUCUCUCGGUACACCUGGCAUGUCAGAAGGUUUCCAUGCAAAGAUGUCCCGAUUCUCACGGAUGAACUCGAUGAGCGCGCUUUCCUAUUUGGGAUCCAGGUUAGCGCUGAAGCUGAACUGUUUGGAUGAAUCGCCAGGGACAAAGUCAACCAUCUUAGUGUCUGUAGCUGAUUUGAACUUCAAUGUUGGAUCAUGUUCCGUGGUUGGCUUUUUUAAGGAGGUCAUGUCUGCCAGAUCAACUUGCUCCUUAUAGAAUGUUAACUCCUCCGUGGCACAAACUGACUCAGCAUAAGCCGCAUCGCCUUCUUCACACUCCAAAGCAAUCUUUCUACUUCCAUGUACUGUGAUAGUCCCCUUAUGACCUGGCAUUUUAAGCUGCAAGUAAACAUAACAUGGCCUUGCCAUAAACUUAGCAUAAACCGGCCGCCCAAACAGAGCGUGGUACGGACUUUUGAUCUUGACCACCUCAAAUGUCACUGUUUCUGACCUUGAAUCGUAGUCAUCUCCAAAAGCUACCUCCAAAGCUAUCUUACCAACAGGAUACGUAGACUUACCAGGAACCACACCAUGAAAUACCGUAUUCGACGGUUUAAGAUCCUUAUCUUUCAACCCCAUACGGCGGAAUGUAUCAUAAUACAAAAUAUUGAUACUACUUCCCCCAUCCAUGAGCACUUUAGUGAACUUGUAUCCCCCAACUUGAGGGGCUACCACCAAGGCCAAAUGACCUGGAUUAUCAACCCGGGGCGGGUGAUCCUCUCUGCUCCACAAAAUAGGUUGCUCCGACCAGCGUAAAUACUGAGGUACUGCCGGCUCAAUAGAGUUGACUACCCUUUUGUGAAGCUUCUGAUCACGUUUGCACAAACUAGUAGUGAAGACAUGAUAUUGCCCGAUGUUCAGUUGUUUGGGAUUGCUCUGAUAACCCGACUGCUGCUGCUACUGCUGACUCCCCUGAUGGUUGUAACCUCCCUGGUUGCCUUGGUGUCCUUGAUUGACGUGUCCUGUUUGAUUGCCUGGAAACUCUGAACUGGAACCACCGCCUUCGUAACCCGGCCCGUGAAAACCUCCUCCUGAACCGCCGGGCGGGCCGUUGUCAUAUUGGAACAUAUUGGAAUUCUUGAAAUCCCACAUGAUAUAACAAUCUUUCCAGAGAUGUGAUGCCGGUUUCUCCUUUGAUCCAUGCUUUGGAUAGGGCUGAUUUAACAAACGCUCCAAAUUGUUGCCUGGACCUCCACCCCUCUGGGGCUGCUUGCCUUUACGGCGCUGGCCAUUCUCCUGCGCGUUGGUAUUUGCAACAAAGUCCAAAUCACUGUCGGCCUUGUGCUUACCAGCGUUUCCAUGGCCUGCCGGAUUGUGUUGUUGGCCUUUGGCAUUGCCGGUCUUCUUACCCUUCUCCGGUUUGUCCUCCUCUGAAUCCGGAUCCUUGGUAUUAUCUGAAUCGGCGUAUUUAACCAAAGCAGCCAUGAGUGUUGACAUGUCGUUGCAGUGACGUUUGAGCCUUCCCAACUUCUGUUUCAACGGUUUGAAACGGCAAUUACCCUCUAAUGUUAACACUGCGGUGUCUGCGUUGAUACGAUCUGAUGAAUGCAAAAUCGCCGAGACACGUUUGACCCAAUGGGUCGUGGACUCCCCUUCCUCUUGGACACAAGCGGACAGAUCUACAAUUGACAUCGGCUGCUUACACAUAUCCUUGAAGUUCUGGAUAAACCGGUGCUUCAAUUCGGCCCAUGAUCCAAUAGAGUUGGUCGGCAAGCUCUUAAACCAAGUGCGAGUUGUUCCUUCCAACAUCAUGGUGAAAGAUUUAGCACACACCGCCUCGUCCACAUCUAACAUCUCCAUUGCCAUCUCAUAGCUCUCCACCCACGCCUCUGGCUGCAAAUCGGCGGUAUAAUUUGGUACCUUAUGAGGUCCCUUGAAAUCCUUGGGUAGUCGCACAUUACACAAAGCAGGAGAUAAACACGGUACCCCUAAGGAACUGAACAUCGCCCCUGGCUCCACGGAGGCAGUGGGGUGAACCGGAGUAUGCUGUCGUGCCUCGUGUCGAGCUGUCAACUCGGCCUCUCGACGUGCGCGGCCAUGAUCCACAACAUCUUGCGCAUUAGCACCUCCCCCAGCUGGGUUGUUCCCUUGUGGCGAAUUUUGGCAGCGUGCACUACUGGACACGGCCGGUUCGUCUUCCACGUGUCUACUAUAACUCCGGCUUGGGCGGGGAGUGGAGUGAAUCCUCUCACGGCUGUGUGAAUAUGCUUGUUGUUGAUUUAGUGUUGUCUGAAGGAGAUCCCUGGCCCGACGUGCUUCCACUGCAACUGGUGACUCGCCGUCGGUUGGGAGGGCCGCCAGGCGUGACGCAGCGGCCACAAUGUUGUCCAACGGGUUGGAAUAAUGCCCGGGCGGCGUUGAUGGUACAAUGUUGUUCUGGCGAGGCAGGUCCGUCGUGCGCGGCUGAACCGGCGCUCCUCCUCCCGGCACCCCCACCUGGUUUAGUGUGGGUUGGUUACCAGCUCCUGCACCUGGCGUGUUGAAAAGAUUCUGCGGCUCAUAAACCGACGGGAGACGUGAUCGGUACCUUCUUCUCAUGACUUCCUCUGAAGCCUUCUGAUCCAGUCUAAUCUGGUAAGCCUGCGCUUCUAACUCGGCCCUCUCCGUAGCCAUCCUGGCGUUCUCUGCUGCCAGGUCUGCCUUGGCCUGGGCUAUCUGAUCUUUCACCUUUGCAAUCUCCGCAUCGUGUUGAUCCCUGGCUGCUGCGUCUACCUCUGCGGACAUCAAUGUUGCCAGAGCGUCGAACAAAUCAUACAAGACUUGGGCCGGAGGUGGCGCCGAUCUUCCUGCCCCUGCUGGUGUGGCCGUUGUUGAACCGGAGAGCAUUGCUGCGGCGGUAGAUGAAUGAGGCGCCGAUUGUGUGCCAGUCAUGAAGAUGGCGGCCCGGUUUGGCAGACCGGGGGAAUCCGGAAUACUGUUGCCCUCGGAUCCUCCCUCAAUCCGGCCGUCCUGCAACUGGUAAAGCGAUUCGGUUUCUCCAGAAGACUCGUCAUCAGAGCAGACUAUGGUUUCUCCUUCGGACACCGGUUCAUCCUCGUGCCCUGAUCCAUGGACGACACCUACGAAAACAUGCCUUGCCUCGGGCUGAACCGGCGACGGACUUGCACGCCGAGCCGUUUUGAUGAUGUCGGUGCAGAUGUCCGUCUCGGGGGCCGGUUCACCGAUCUUGCCGAUGAAGACGUGAAUCCCACCAAAGGGGACCCGGUACCCGUAUUCGAUUGAAUCGGCCUCGGGACCCCAUCCUGCGUUGUCGAUGUAGAGCUUGCCGCGGCGACUCUUCGUCAUCCGGCCCAUAGCGUAUCCCUUAAGUCCAUCGAAGCUGCCCUUCAAGAACUCGAAACCAUCAUGCGAUAGCCCCACGGUGGGCGCCAACUGUCGUGGGUUUGUCACGGCAAAUGUCCUCGUGAAAAGACUUAGUUGUGGAGCCAUCGCAACGGGUUAGCUUAAAGCGGUUAAACCGGACAAGGGGACACGGGAGUUUAUACUAGUUCGGCCCCUUCGAUGAAGGUAAAAGCAUACGUCUAGUUGUGAUUGGUAUUGCUAGGGUUUCAAAGGCCAGGGAGCGAAUCCUCUUUGUCUGGCUUUCGAGUUGUUGUUGUCUGUCCCUAAACCGCGGCCGGGUCGUCCCUUUAUAUACAUAGGUUGACGCCCGCCGAGCUACAGAGUCCUGAAGCCGGUUUAUAAACGUAUCCUGUUCGGCCUCUCUCUUUCUAUCUUACUAUACAAGUUACAUGACUAGGUCGGUUUACAUUUCCAUACUGUAACUCGCCUUUGGGCCCUCCGUAAAGCACUAGCAUCUUUACAUCUUCAUGGGCUUCUAAUCUUCAAAGAGUCAACCCGGCUACAUAAGGCCGGUUUACCUCCAGUAGUAAUAUCCCCAACACAUAGGUUUCUUAAUAGUGGAAUCCGCAAGGUGCAAGUUUAGAGAGCAAUCAUCAAAAUCAUGGAAACCUAACAAAUCACACAAAGUCUUUGGAAUUGUGGAAACACUAGCACCCAAAUCACAUAAAGCAUAGCAUUCAUGAUCUUUAAUUUUAGUUUUAAUAGUUGGUUCCCACUCAUCAUAAAGUUUUCUAGGGAUAGAAACUUCCAAUUCAAGUUUUUCUUCAUAAGAUUGCAUCAAGGCAUCAACGAUAUGUUUAGUAAACGCUUUAUUUUGACUAUAAGCGUGAGGAGAAUUUAGCACGGAUUGCAAAAAGGAAAUACAAUCAAUCAAAGAGCAAUUUUCAUAGUUAAAUUCCUUGAAAUCCAUAAUAGUGGGUUUAGCAACAUCUAGGGUUUUAAUUUCUUCAAUCCCACUUUUAUAAAAUUUAGCAUCAAGAUCAAAAGAUUCAGAAUUCUUGGAACGCCUUCUAGGUAAAGGUGGAUCAUAUUCGGUCCCAUCAUUCUCAAGAUUCAUAUUGCGAAACAAAGAUUUAAUAGGGGACACAUCAAUAACUUUUAGAUCUUCAUCAUUAUUUUCAUAGGAACUAGAAGAACACACUUUUAUAAAGGCAUAUUUCUUAGCACGCAUCCUAGUGGUUCUUUCUUUGCACUCAUCAAUGGAAAUUCUCAUGGAUUUGAGAGACUCAUUGAUAUCAUGCUUAGGUGGAAUAGAUCUAAGUUUUAAAGAAUCAACAUCAAGAGCAAUUCUAUCAACGUUCCUAGCCAAAUCAUCAAUCUUAAGUGAUUUUUCUUCAAUCAUAGCAUUAAAAUUCUUUUGUGAAGUAAAAAAUUCUUUAAUAUUGGAAUCAAAAUCAGAGGGCAUCUUAUUAUAAUUUCCAUAAGAAUUGUUGUAGGAAUUACCAUAAUUAUUAGAGGGAUUACUAGGAUAAGGCCUGGGAUUGAAAUUUCCUCUAUAUGCGUUGUUACCAAAAUUAUUCCUACCAACAAAAUUCACAUCCAUAGAUUCAUUAUUAUUCUCAAUCAAAGUAGACAAGGGCAUAUCGUUAGGAUCAGAAGAAACACUCCUAUUGGCAAAUAAUUUCAUAAGUUCAUCCAGUUGGAAAUAUGCCCUAGAGGCAAUAAUAAAAUGGUUAUUACUAUAUUUCUCUGUUAAUGAUAAUUGUCUAUUAUUCAUGCUAUAAUUGUGUUAUCCGGAAAUCGUAAUACAUGUGUGAAUACAUAGACCACAACACGUCUGUCAGGACCCCGACUCGAUGUCACAUCGAUCUAGCCGGUAACACCUCAUAUCACCUUGCGGCCUCACGCACGGUAUCCCCACGGGUGUCGCCUUACCUUUGCCCGGGACCGUUUGCGCAUUUUGGCUCACGUAUAUGAUAUUGUCGCUAGCAUCCAUAUGAUAAAGAGCCCGGGCUGACAUGACUAGUCGUAAACCCAAAGUGGCACAGACUUACAGGGACAGGCAUCCAUGACCCAGCUUCGAACGUGUCGGUCAUCAGCAAAUGGGUCCGGGCUGUAGCACUGGGCUAGCAGGACUCCGGUAAACCGGGCUGUAGCGGGCUAACAGGACUCCGGUACUCAAAGCGUGACAUUUCCCCGAAGGGACAGACACAGGAACGAAGAAGGACACAUGCCGGCCAGCCUAAGUGUUCCAGAGCAGUAGCAAGCUACCAUGGCUCAGCGGUAACACUAGGAGACAUUUCCCGGUAAGAGAGGCUACUAAAGAUAAACAACUAGAUAGUCAGAUCCCACACAUACCAAGCAUUUCAAUCAUACACACAAUAUGCUCGAUAUGUGCAAAUACAACGAAGCAUCACAACAUGACUCUAUGACACAAGUACUUUAUUUAAGGCUCAGGAAGCCAUACAUAACAUACACAAAGGUACGGGUCUCACGACCCAACAUACAAGUCAUACAGUCAUACAACCAGCAGCGGAAGUAACUUGUCUGAGUACAGACAACUAGUAAAAUAAAAGAGGCUUGGAAAGCCUAGCUAUACUACGUGGUCCUUCACAAGCUCAGGGUCACCACCUGGGUCUUUAGCCUACUCGUUGAUGUCAACGUCUACAUAGAACCCAUCAGAAGGGGUUGCAGCGUCUUCUGUAAAAAUGUAAAUUAUAGCAACAUGAGUACAAAGGUACUCAGCAAGACUUACAUCAGAACCUACAUACAUGCAUAUUAUCAAGAAGGGUUGGUGGAGUUAUUGCAGCAAGCCAGCUUUGACUCUUGGCUAGACUAUCCUACGAUACUCCAACUUGAAAUGGUUUUGCGCACACGAGUCCACUACUCACCAAUUCAAUACACUACCGAGGAUUCGCCUCCGUCUUCCUACGGAAGAGCCAUCCUCGGCACUCACGCUUAUCUUGAGGCUUUUAACAGUUUCCAUUUACAUUGUCUAUGAACUGUAUAGGCAACCAAGUAGUCAUUUACCACGGACGCGGCUAUUCGAAUAGAUUAUGAUAACCCUGCAGGGGUGUACUUCUUCAUACAUGUUUCCACCACUUAGCGUCUGCACACGACAUGUGCUCGGCAGACUUCAAGCGAAAGCCGACGUGGGUGUAGACCACGACCUACCUAAACACUCAAGCCUCUAGUCCAGGUUUAUCGCCUAUUCAGGUUCCAUCCGCAGGGAGUCCAGCCGAGGUUUCCCAUACGGCCCCGAACAAUGUGAACAGGGUUCCCGAGAUACCUAACGGGUAUUCGGUACACCGUGCCACGUACCUACCGCAUCACAGCCCACCCCUACGGUCAGCGCUGUCCACGGCCUCCAGUAGGCUACAAACACCAGAAACUACUUGCAACUCCUGGACAGAGAGCUAGGGUGAAUAAGAAGUCGAGCGGGGUCAUAUUUCAGGGCCCAAUGCAUGGUAGUAGCUGUAUCUUAAAUCACGCAUACAGAUCUCAGUGCUUAAGGUCGGCUUCAAUGAAAAAACCCACCAUGUACUCCUACAUGGCCUCUCAUCGAUACCUUUACCAAAUCGUGUUCACCACACCACUCUCAUUACCGAGAUAAACAUUUCACUCUAGCCCAUCACCCAGAUGAACCAGACCUGACACGACUCUAAGCAUAGAAGGCAUAGCAAGGUAGGAACAACACAUACAUAUGGCUCAAACAACUCCUACACAUGCUAGUGGGUUUCAUCUAGUUACUGUGGCAAUGACAGGUCAUGCAGAGGAAAUGGGUUCAACUACCGUAGCACACAGCAGUUUGAAACGCGUUGUCUUAAUGCAGUAAAAGAGAGCAGGAGCGAGAACAUGGGAUUGUAUCGAUAUGAUCAAAUGGUUGGUUGCUUGCCUGAUGGUUCGAUGCACUGAUACGGUUCUUCGUUAGGGUAAUCAGGGUACUCUUCGGGGACAGAACCUGCCGCAGAGAGCACCGAUACACAAACAUUACCAAACAGUAUGCAACAAUAUGAUGCAUGCAUGAAACAUGGCAAUAUGAGUGUGUUGGGCUAAUGCAACUAAAACCAGAAGGGUUUGAACAAAUUUGAAUCAAAGAUUCAAAUUACAAACUCAAACAUGGCCUUUUAAAGUGCUUUUCCUUGUUCUGUUAAAAACAUCAAUUUAACUUGUUUGAUCAUGCAUGAAAAUAGUACAGAUGGAUAGAUUGGAUUUUUUUGAUCAUUUUUCAUAUAUAAUUUGUCCAAUUUGGAGUUACAGAAUAAAAGUUAUGAAUUUUUGAAGUUUAAAUAAUAUUCUGGAAUUUCCUGAUUUAAAUUAAAUCCAGAAAAUCAAUUACUGCGUCAGCCUGACGUCAGUGUGACGUCAGCAGGUCAACGGAACAGGUCUGGGUCAAACCUGACAGUGGGUCCCGCAUGUCAGGGUGAUUAUUUUAAUUAAAACUUAAUUAAAACUAAUCCUGUUUAAUUAACAGGGCUGGGCCCCACCUGUCAUUGACUCAGGGGAGUCAACCAGGGCCCACCCGUGGUCAAACCCGGGUCGGCUGCACGGGCGUUUAGCCGCCGGCGAGCCCGACGCGGCGGCGGGAGUGGUUUUGGCCAUUUCGGCCACCAAAUGGGCCGCGGAGACCACCGGAGGGGAGCUGAGGACAAACCGCAGCUCUUGGCGGAGUCCGUUGAGGUCGGGGUGGCCGGAGUUGGCGCCGGCGACGACUUGGGCGGCCACCGGGGUUCGGCCGAGGACGAACUUGACGCUAGAGGGGUCGGUGAGGCUCGGGGAGUGGCUAGCUAGAUGCUACGUGACACGGUGAGCAUGACGGACACCAGUUUGUGGCCGGAGGAUGACCGGGAGCACGUCGGCGACGAGCUCCACGGCGGUGGGUGCGGUUGAGCUCCGGGAGGUUGCUACACGGCUCGGGAGCAAGAACGGAAGGGAGGGGAAGAUGGCUAAGCUCACAGUGAGUGCGACGGAGUCCUUGGUGCGGCCGGAGAUGGACCGGAGCGACGACGGCGUUGAAGGGGAUCUCCGGCGACGGUGAGCUCGGGCGAGGUCGGUGCGGUGGUCUCGGGCGUUGCGAGCGCUCGGGGCUCGGCUGCUCGAUGAAGUGGACAGCGGCGGAGCUCCUGGACACGGUGAGACGGCGUGGGGUGGUCGGAGGGCGUGGCUACGGCGAGGGGGUGGCGGCGAUGGCGUCGGCCAUGGCUGGGGCGUGCGAGGGGGAGGAGCUGGAGAGGAGAGGGGGUGUCUGGGGGGUUCGGGGGAGAGAGGGAGGCCGAUCCACGACGUCACCUGGCGAGGGGAGCGGCGAGGCGGCGAGCAGGUGCGUGGCGCACGCCGCGGUCGCCGUCGGGCACCUGCCUGCCUGCCUGGCCGGCAAGCAGCUCGCUGGAGCGGUGCUGGGCUGGGCCGGCAGGUGGGCCGGGGGCAGGCGCCAGGUAAGCUUUCCCCCUUUUUUCUGUUUCUGUUUUUAUUUAAUAUAUCUGCAACUUUGUUGAAUUUAAUAAAAUACCUAGGCAACUUCAAAAAUCACCAAAUCACUCCUGGUCCAUAGUUGGAUUAUUUCCAACAUGAAACAUUUUAGUUUGGAGGUAUUUGAGCAUUUAAAUAUUUUAUAUAAUUUUAAAUGCCCAAAUUCAAAUAUUUAUGAAUUAAUUCAAAAACCCUAAGAUGGCCUAGGAAAAUGUGCACCACUUUUGGCAGAGGUUCUGAACCAAGACAAAAAUGAUGGGCAUUUUAGAAGGGCAUUUCAGGUUCAUUGAAAAUUAUUUUAGUAAACCCUAGUUGGUUUCAGAGGGGACUGGGGGUUCUGUCAUCCCCAUUUCAAGUUUCUGAUGAAAGAGUAAACAUGAUGCAACACUCUAAUGCAUGACUAGCUAGGGUGUGACAACUCACCCCCACUCAAAAGAAUCUCGUCCCGAGAUUUGGGUUCCUCCGGAAAGAAGGCGGGGUACUCGAGUCGAAGACGAUCCUCCCUUUCCCAAGUUGCUUCAUCCUCAGAAUGGUGCGACCAUUGAACCUUGAGAAACUUGAUAUUAUGACGUCGAGUGGUACGUUCGGCCUGAUCGAGGAUACGAAUGGGGUACUCUCGAUAUGUAAGAUUAUCUUGGAGAUCAAGCGUUUCGUAGUCCACUCCACGGAUAGGAUCCGAGAAGCAACGCCUGAGUUGAGAAACGUGGAAGACAUCGUGGACUCUGGAGAGAUGCGGAGGUAGUUCCAGCUGGUAGGCAACUUCUCCUCGUUUGGCGAGAAUGCGAAAAGGUCCAAUGUAACGAGGAGCCAAUUUGCCUUUGAUACCGAAACGAUGGGUUCCCUUCAGAGGGGUGACCCGAAGAUAAGCCUUCUCGUCAACCUCGAAAGUCAUAGCCUUAUGUUUUCGGUCAUAUUGACUCUUUUGACGAGAUUGAGCUGUUUUCAACUUUUCACGAACGAUACGAACUUGUUCUUCUGCUUCCUGAAUCAUAUCCGGGCCAAAGAAUUGUCUUUCCCCGGUCUCUGACCAGUUAAGGGGUGUUCGACACCGUCGUCCAUAGAGAACUUCAAAAGGGGCUUUACCCAAGCUAGAUUGAUAGCUGUUGUUAUAAGCGAAUUCGGCAAAUGGAAGGCACUUCUCCCAAUCCAUUCCGAAUGAGAUAACCGAGGCUCGAAGCAUGUCUUCUAGAAUCUGGUUGACGCGUUCCACUUGACCGCUCGACUGAGGGUGGAAGGCGGUGCUAAAGGAGAGACUGGUUCCCAUAGCAUUUUGGAAACUUUCCCAAAAUCGAGAGGUGAAAAGACUUCCUCGAUCCGAGUUAAUUUCCAAAGGAACACCAUGGAGAGACACUAUUCGGGAGAUGUAUAAGUCUGCCAGCUGACUAGCGGUUAUACUCUCACGAACAGGUAAGAAAUGGGCUACUUUGGAAAGACGAUCGACCACGACGAAAAUAGCAUUAUUCCCUCUCUUGGUCCUGGGAAAACCGGUAAUGAAAUCCAUACCAAUUUUAUCCCAUUUCCAUUCAGGAAUAGCUAGGGGUUGAAGGGUGCCAGCAGGCCGUUGAUGCUCUGCUUUUACACGACGACAGACGUCGCAAUUAGCAAUAUACUGAGCAAUUUCUCUCUUCAUCCUAGUCCACCAGAACCUCUGGCGUAGGUCCUGAUACAUCUUAGUACUACCGGGAUGAAUGGUGAGAGGAGAUUCAUGAGCCUCCUUAAGGAUCAACUGCCGUAGAUGCUGGUUCUUGGGAACCACUAGACGGUUCUCAAAGUACACAACACCAUGAUCAUUGGUGGAGAAACAACUAGCACCUCCGCUAGCAAUGUUCUCCUUGAUCUUAGCUAUUCCCUUAUCUCGCUUCUGGGCAGCAAUGAUUUGAUCCGUAAGAGUAGGUUUCGCCACCAAGGUGGAAAGAAAUCCUUGAGGAACAAUGUGAAGGUUAAGCUUCCGAAAUUCCUCAUGGAGAAGCGGUUGACUUUGUUGUAACACCAGAUUGUUACAAUAAGAUUUACGACUUAGCGCAUCAGCCAUGACGUUGGCUUUCCCUGGGGUGUAGGUUAUUCCUAAGUCGAAGUCUGUGAUCAAUUCAACCCAACGUCUUUGCCUGAGAUUCAGAUCCGGUUGGGUGAAAAUGUACUUCAGACUUUGGUGAUCAGUGAAUAUUUCGCAACGAUUACCGAGGAGGUAAUGUCGCCAGGUCUUAAGUGCAUAGACUACAGCUGCAAGCUCUAGAUCAUGAGUAGGAUAAUUCUCCUCGUGUGGGUGCAAUUGCCGUGAAGCAUAGGCAAUUACGUGUCGAUCUUGCAUGAGAAUGCAACCCAGUCCUUGUCGCGAGGCGUCGCAGUAGAUAACAAAGUCUUUGGAGAGGUCUGGCGGUACCAGUACGGGAGCAGAAGUCAGGCGUCUUUUCAGUUCCUGAAAGCUGUGCUCACAUUGUGGAGUCCACUCGAACUUCUUAUCUUUCUUGAGGAGUUCGGUUAGAGGUUUGGCAACCUUGGUGAAGUUCUCGACAAAGCGACGACAAUAGCUCGCUAAGCCUAGAAAACUCCGAACUUGCUUGACCGAUUCAGGUGGAGUCCAAUUAAGGACGGCUUGAACUCGCUCAGGGUUAACAGCAAUACCUCUACCAGAUAUUACAUGACCCAGGUAGGUCACUUCUGACAACCAGAAUUCACAUUUAGAAAAUUUGGCAUAAAGGCGAUGCUCUCGAAGUUUCUGCAACACUAGCCUUAGAUGUUCGGCAUGUUCUUCCUCGUUCUUGGAGUAGAUGAGUAUAUCAUCGAGGUAAACCACGACGAAUUUAUCCAAAUACUCCAUGAAGAUUGAGUUCAUUAACCGAGAAAAGGUGGCUGGAGCGUUGGUUAAACCGAAGGACAUGACGGUGUACUCGUAUUGGCCGUAACGAGUAACAAAGGCCGUUUUAGGGAUGUCCCCGUUUCUGAUUUUGAUUUGAUGGUAGCCCAACCUCAAAUCCAUCUUGGAGAAGACUGAGGAUCCAGCGAGCUGAUCAUACAGGUCGUUGAUCCUGGGAAGCGGAUAUUUGUUCUUGAUUGUGACCAAAUUGACAGGUCGGUAAUCUACAACCAUCCGGUCCGUACCAUCCUUCUUCUUGACGAAUAGGACGGGGCAAGCCCACGGAGAAGAGCUAGGUUGGAUGAAACCCUUUUUCAAGGACUCAUCGAGUUGUUUCUUAAGCUCGGCUAGUUCUAGGGGUGCCAUCUUAUAAGGUCUUCUAGCAAUCGGAACGGUUCCUGGAAUGAGGUCUAUUACGAACUCAACAUCCCUAUCAGGUGGAACACCUGGCAAUUCCUCUGGAAAGACAUCCGGGAAGUCACGGACUACCGGAACGUCCUCAAGGUCUGGCAAAGGGCUGGCGUUAAGAGAAUAUAAUUGUCGCUUAGCUAUUCGGGUCAAGACAUUGACUAUCUUUCCCGAAGGAUGGGUGAGUUGGACAGUCCUAGAGAAGCAAUCGAUUUGGGCAUGAUGAGCCGACAUCCAGUCCAUACCCAAAAUGAUAUUAAUAUCUGAAGAUUUAAGGGCUAUCAAAGACGCGAGGAAAACAAGUCUGUCGACUUGGAUUUCAUUUCCAUGGCUUACUCGAGAAGUUUGCCAUUUGGAUCCCGGAGUUUGAAUUACCAUAGAGGUUGGCAUAUCACCGAAUGCGACGUUAUGCAAACGAGCAUAAUCUUCUGACAUAAAAGAAUGAGAGGCUCCUGUAUCGAAAAGAACAGAUGCCGGGUGGCAAUUUACAAGAAGCGUACCGAGAACGACGUUGGGAUCCUCUUGAGCUUCUUCGGCAGAGAUACAGUUGACAUGGCCACGUGAAGCGGUGACCGGCUUGGCGUGGAAUAUUUUUCCUGUCGGCUUGCCACGGCCAACAGCUUUAGCAGAUUGAUUGGGGUUGGUCUGGGGACACUCACGCAUAUAGUGACCAGAUUCCCCACACUUGAAACAAGUCACGGAACUGGUACGUGGAGGAGCAUUGUUAGUUGGACCUCCAUAGUGCUUGGCUGGAGCAGACUGUUGAACGGGGCGAGGCGCCUGGAAGGAUGGCCUCGGUGUGAACCUGGGUGGCAGGGCGGUGUUGGGUACCCACACGCGGCGCUUCUGAGGACCAGCACCCGAUGAGGAACCCAUGUCACGGCCAUGCUUGCGUGUUGCGUCAUAGUCAGUCUGACCAGUUUCAGCACUGAUGGCUUUGUUGACAAGUUUCUGAAAAGAUGUGCACUCAUGCAGACGGAGGUCGCGGCGAAGCUCAGGACUAAGGCCCUUACGGAACCUUGCUUGCUUCUUGGCAUCAGUAGACACUUCCUCAGUUGCAUAUCGUGCGAGAUUACCAAACUCCCUGCUGUAAGCAUCCACAGAAAGUCGGCCUUGGGUGAAACUGCAAAAUUCUUCACGUUUACGGUCCAUGAGACCCUCUGGAAUGUGAUGUUCACGGAAAGCCUCGCUGAAUUCAGCCCAAUUAGUGACAUGGCCCACCGGGCGCAUAGCUCCAUAAUUCUCCCACCAUAGACUGGCGGGGCCUUCAAGAUGAUAUGCAGCAAAGGUGACCUUGUCAGCCUCCGCUACCAGCGCGGAACGCAGUUUGUGAGAGAUACUGCGAAGCCAGUCAUCAGCGUCGAGAGGCUCGACGGAGUGGUGGAACGUGGGUGGAUGUAAUUUGAUAAAAUCACUGAGUGACACCACGUUAGUCCUCUGACGGUGUGCUGUGUUCUGUUCAAUACGCUCCAACAAACGGUUGGUCUCCCGCUUGUUUCUCUCAGCUUCCAUCAUAACCUCGGCUAGUGAAGGAGGAUGAGGCAGAUUUGCAUCCCUGGCUUCACUGCCUUCGGCCUGCUCUUGAGAAGCAGGGUUAGCGCGCGUGUUGACCAUCCUAGGUAAACAAGACAAUGAUUUAGUCAGGAUGAUAAAAUUCCGACAUAGGGUAGAAAUGUAAGGAAUAACUCGAAAUGCAAGAUGAUCAUCCGUAUGACAUGGUAGAUAUAGAAACUGCUUCUUUUAUUCCAUCGUCAUACACACCAUACAGGGUUUAGUACAAGACCAAACAAAGUACUAUUACGGUGAAAGAGGAUUACAUCUCAUCGGAGGCAUUCCAAGCUCCUAUACAUUAUUUUUCUACACCUCCGGAAGGAGUACAAACUAGGUCAUAUCCCACGAGUCACGCGGGACAAUAGACGACACAGCUAGUGCGAACUAGUGAUACUACCACUAACUCAGACCGAUCCGUAGUAGUCCUCGUAGAAAUCACCUCCAUAGCCUGGAAGCUCAACAUGAUCAUCCGGAAACAGACGAUCUCGCGGAGCUUGUGGACCAUAGGGGCUAGGAUGAGGCCUUGGACCAACAAACGGUGGCCUGCGGGGACCGCGAGGUGGGGUGAUGCCUCCUACAUCACACCAAACCAUCACGUCUGGCAGAGCAGAUCUCACAGGAUAGAGAUCGCGCAUGUCUGAGAAUCCAGCUUGCACCGCCGGUGCGAACCGAGUCAAAGUGGCCCAGUGGUCAGCACGGGUAUUGAAGAGCUCUAACCUCAAGGCCCGAUUUUCACGGUCCUUAUCCUCGAGCAUCUCAGCAGUGGUGCGAGUCCGUGAAUCCUCCUGAGUGGGGUCAGCAUAAAUAGCCUGGAGAUACCCUUGUGCUCCCGGAAGUGAUCCUGGCAUAUACCGGAAAUCAGAGUCCCGAAAUAGACCAGAUCUGACUCGCAUAAUGGUCAUCAUAGAGUAGGCGGCGUCCUGCACAGCCAUCUCAAUAGUAACCCCGAGACCAUAGGAGCAGUGAAGAGGCUCGGUGGAUCCAGGAUAAGAUGGAAAUAUCCUGACAGUGCAGAGAUACUGGCUUUGAUUAAAGUCUCGGAAUUGCUCUUCGACCGUGUACUCAGGAUACCAGCGGUAUCCAGCCUCAAUCAUUACCCUGACCAACUUGGCAGUAUNNNNNNNNNNNNNNNNNNNNNNNNNNNNNNNNNNNNNNNNNNNNNNNNNNNNNNNNNNNNNNNNNNNNNNNNNNNNNNNNNNNNNNNNNNNNNNNNNNNNNNNNNNNNNNNNNNNNNNNNNNNNNNNNNNNNNNNNNNNNNNNNNNNNNNNNNNNNNNNNNNNNNNNNNNNNNNNNNNNNNNNNNNNNNNNNNNNNNNNNNNNNNNNNNNNNNNNNNNNNNNNNNNNNNNNNNNNNNNNNNNNNNNNNNNNNNNNNNNNNNNNNNNNNNNNNNNNNNNNNNNNNNNNNNNNNNNNNNNNNNNNNNNNNNNNNNNNNNNNNNNNNNNNNNNNNNNNNNNNNNNNNNNNNNNNNNNNNNNNNNNNNNNNNNNNNNNNNNNNNNNNNNNNNNNNNNNNNNNNNNNNNNNNNNNNNNNNNNNNNNNNNNNNNNNNNNNNNNNNNNNNNNNNNNNNNNNNNNNNNNNNNNNNNNNNNNNNNNNNNNNNNNNNNNNNNNNNNNNNNNNNNNNNNNNNNNNNNNNNNNNNNNNNNNNNNNNNNNNNNNNNNNNNNNNNNNNNNNNNNNNNNNNNNNNNNNNNNNNNNNNNNNNNNNNNNNNNNNNNNNNNNNNNNNNNNNNNNNNNNNNNNNNNNNNNNNNNNNNNNNNNNNNNNNNNNNNNNNNNNNNNNNNNNNNNNNNNNNNNNNNNNNNNNNNNNNNNNNNNNNNNNNNNNNNNNNNNNNNNNNNNNNNNNNNNNNNNNNNNNNNNNNNNNNNNNNNNNNNNNNNNNNNNNNNNNNNNNNNNNNNNNNNNNNNNNNNNNNNNNNNNNNNNNNNNNNNNNNNNNNNNNNNNNNNNNNNNNNNNNNNNNNNNNNNNNNNNNNNNNNNNNNNNNNNNNNNNNNNNNNNNNNNNNNNNNNNNNNNNNNNNNNNNNNNNNNNNNNNNNNNNNNNNNNNNNNNNNNNNNNNNNNNNNNNNNNNNNNNNNNNNNNNNNNNNNNNNNNNNNNNNNNNNNNNNNNNNNNNNNNNNNNNNNNNNNNNNNNNNNNNNNNNNNNNNNNNNNNNNNNNNNNNNNNNNNNNNNNNNNNNNNNNNNNNNNNNNNNNNNNNNNNNNNNNNNNNNNNNNNNNNNNNNNNNNNNNNNNNNNNNNNNNNNNNNNNNNNNNNNNNNNNNNNNNNNNNNNNNNNNNNNNNNNNNNNNNNNNNNNNNNNNNNNNNNNNNNNNNNNNNNNNNNNNNNNNNNNNNNNNNNNNNNNNNNNNNNNNNNNNNNNNNNNNNNNNNNNNNNNNNNNNNNNNNNNNNNNNNNNNNNNNNNNNNNNNNNNNNNNNNNNNNNNNNNNNNNNNNNNNCUUAUCUUGAGGCUUUUAACAGUUUCCAUUUACAUUGUCUAUGAACUGUAUAGGCAACCAAGUAGUCCUUUACCGCGGACGCGGCUAUUCGAAUAGAUUAUGAUAACCCUGCAGGGGUGUACUUCUUCAUACAUGUUUCCACCACUUAGCGUCUGCACACGACAUGUGCUCGGCAGACUUCAAGCGAAAGCCGACGUGGGUGUAGACCACGACCUACCUAAACACUCAAGCCUCUAGUCCAGGUUUAUCGCCUAUUCAGGUUCCAUCCGCAGGGAGUCCGGCCGAGGUUUCCCAUACGGCCCCGAACGAUGUGAACAGGGUUCCCGAGAUACCUAACGGGUAUUCGGUACACCGUGCCACGUACCUACCGCAUCACAGCCCACCCCUACGGUCAGCGCUGUCCACGGCCUCCAGUAGGCUACAAACACUAGAAACUACUUGCAACUCCUGGACAGAGAUCUAGGGUGAAUAAGAAGUCGAGCGGGGUCAUAUUUCAGGGCCCAAUGCAUGGUAGUAGCUGUAUCUUAAAUCACGCAUACAGAUCUUAGUGCUUAAGGUCGGCUUCAAUGAAACAACCCACCAUGUACUCCUACAUGGCCUCUCAUCGAUACCUUUACCAAAUCGUGUUCACCACACCACUCUCAUUACCGAGAUAAACAUUUCACUCUAGCCCAUCACCCAGAUGAACCAGACCUGACACGACUCUAAGCAUAGCAGGCAUAGCAAGGUAGGAACAACACAUACAUAUGGCUCAAACAACUCCUACACAUGCUAGUGGGUUUCAUCUAGUUACUGUGGCAAUGAUAGGUCAUGCAGAGGAAAUGGGUUCAACUACCGUAGCACACAGCAGUUUGAAACGCGUUGUCUUAAUGCAGUAAAAGAGAGCAGGAGCGAGAACAUGGGAUUGUAUCGAUAUGAUCAAAUGGUUGGUUGCUUGCCUGAUGGUUCGAUGCACUGAUACGGUUCUUCGUUAGGGUAAUCAGGGUACUCUUCGGGGACAGAACCUGCCGCAGAGAGCACCGAUACACAAACAUUACCAAACAGUAUGCAACAAUAUGAUGCAUGCAUGAAACAUGGCAAUAUGAGUGUGUUGGGCUAAUGCAACUAAACCAGAAGGGUUUGAACAAAUUUGAAUCAAAGAUUCAAAUUACAAACUCAAACAUGGCCUUUUAAAGUGCUUUUCCUUGUUCUGUUAAAAACAUCAAUUUAACUUGUUUGAUCAUGCAUGAAAAUAGUACAGAUGGAUAGAUUGGAUUUUUCUGAUCAUUUUUCAUAUAUAAUUUGUCCAAUUUGGAGUUACAGAAUAAAAGUUAUGAAUUUUUGAAGUUUAAAUAAUAUUCUGGAAUUUCCUGAUUUAAAUUAAAUCCAGAAAAUCAAUUACUGCGUCAGCCUGACGUCAGUGUGACGUCAGCAGGUCAACGGAACAGGUCUGGGUCAAACCUGACAGUGGGUCCCGCAUGUCAGGGUGAUUAUUUUAAUUAAAACUUAAUUAAAACUAAUCAUGUUUAAUUAACAGGGCUGGGCCCCACCUGUCAUUGACUCAGGGGAGUCAACCAGGGCCCACCCGUGGUCAAACCCGGGUCGGCUGCACCGGCGUUUAGCCGCCGGCGAGCCCGACGCGGCGGCGGGAGUGGUUUUGGCCAUUUCGGCCACCAAAUGGGCCGCGGAGACCAUCGGAGGGGAGCUGAGGACAAACCGCAGCUCUUGGCGGAGUCCGUUGAGGUCGGGGUGGCCGGAGUUGGCGCCGGCGACGACUUGGGCGGCCACCGGGGUUCGGCCGAGGACGAACUUGACGCUAGAGGGGUCGGUGAGGCUCGGGGAGUGGCUAGCUAGAUGCUACGUGACACGGUGAGCAUGACGGACACCAGUUUGUGGCCGGAGGAUGACCGGGAGCACGUCGGUGACGAGCUCCACGGCGGUGGGUGCGGUUGAGCUCCGGGAGGUUGCUACACGGCUCGGGAGCAAGAACGGAAGGGAGGGGAAGAUGGCUAAGCUCACAGUGAGUGCGACGGAGUCCUUGGAGCGGCCGGAGAUGGACCGGAGCGACGACGGCGUUGAAGGGGAUCUCCGGCGACGGUGAGCUCGGGCGAGGUCGGUGCGGUGGACUCGGGCGUUGCGAGCGCUCGGGGCUCGGCUGCUCGAUGAAGUGGACAGCGGCGGAGCUCCUGGACACGGUGGCACGGCGUGGGGUGGACGGAGGGCGUGGCUACGGCGAGGGGGUGGCGGCGAUGGCGUCGGCCAUGGCUGGGGUGUGCGAGGGGGAGGAGCUGGAGAGGAGAGGGGGUGUCUGGGGGGUUCGGGGGAGAGAGGGAGGCCGAUCCACGGCGUUAGCCGGGCGAGGGAGGCGGCGAGGCACCGAGCAGCUGCGUGGCGAGCUGCGGUGCUCGUCGUCGAGCACCUGCCUGCCUGCCUGGCCGGAAGCAGCUCGCUGGCGCGGUGCUGGGCUGGGUCGGCAGGUGGGCCGGUACUGGGCGACAGGUAAGCUUUUCCCCUUUUUUUCUGUUUCUGUUUUUAUUUAAUAUAUCUGCAACUUUGUUGAAUUUAAUAAAAUACCUAGGCAACUUCAAAAAUCACCAAAUCACUCCUGGUCCAUAGUUGGAUUAUUUCCAACAUGAAACAUUUUAGUUUGGAGGUAUUUGAGCAUUUAAAUAUUUUAUAUAAUUUUAAAUGCCCAAAUUCAAAUAUUUAUGAAUUAAUUCAAAAACCCUAGGAUGGCCUAGGAAAAUGUGCACCACUUUUGGCAGAGGUUCUGAACCAAGACAAAAAUGAUGGGCAUUUUAGAAGGGCAUUUCAGGUUCAUUGAAAAAGUUUUUAGUAAACCCUAGUUGGUUUCAGAGGGGACUGGGGGUUCUGUCAUCCCCAUUUCAAGUUUCUGAUGAAUAAGUAAACAUGAUGCAACACUCUAAUGCAUGGCUAACUAGGAUGUGACAACGUCCCUAGUGAGCCUCUAGUUGACUAGCUCGUUGAUCAAAAGAUAGUCAUGGUUUCCUGACUAUGGACAUUGGAUGUCAUUGAUAAUGGGAUCACAUCAUUAGGAGAAUGAUGUGAUGGACAAGACCCAAUCCUAAGCAUAGCUCAAAGAUCGUGUAGUUCGUUUGCUAUAGCUUUUCCGAAUGUCAAGUAUCAUUUCCUUACCGUAGGAGUGCUUUGGGUGUGCCAAACGUCACAACGUAACUGGGUGACUAUAAAGGUACACUAUGGGUAUCUCCGAAAGUGUCUGUUGGGUUGGCAUGAAUCGAGACUGUGAUUUGUCACUCCGUAUGACGGAGAGGUAUCUCUGGGCCCACUCGGUAAUGCAUCAUCAUAAUGAGCUCAUUGUGACCAAGUGGUUGAUCACAGGAUCAUGCAUUAUGGUACGAGUAAAGUGACUUGCCGGCAACGAGAUUGAACAAGGUAUUGGGCUACCGACAAUCGAGUCUCGGGCAAGUAACAUACCGAUUGACAAAGGGAAUUGUAUACGGGAUUGAUCGAAUCCUCGACAUCGUGGUUCAUCCGAUGAGAUCAUCGAGGAGCAUGUGGGAGCCAACAUGGGUAUCCGGAUCCCGCUGUUGGUUAUUAACCGAAGAGUCGUCUCGGUCAUGUCUGCGUGUCUCCCGAACCCGUAGGGUCUACACACUUAAGGUUCGGUGACGCUAGGGUUGUCGAGAUAUUAGUAUACGAUAACAUGAAAGUUGUUCGGAGUCCCGGAUGAGAUCCCAGAUGUCACGAGGAGUUCCGGAAUGGUCCGGAGUUGAAGAUUUAUAUAUAGGAAGUCAAGUUUCGGCCAUCGGGAAAGUUUCGGGGGUAAUCAGUAUUGUACCGGGACCACCGAAAGGGUCCCGGGGGUCCACCGGGUGGGGCCACCUAUCCCGGAGGGCCCCAUGGGCUGAAGUGGGAGGGGAACCAGCCCCUACUGGGCUGGUGCGCCCCCCCCCCAUGGGCCUCCCAUGCGUCUAGGGUUGGAAAUCCUAGGGGUGGGGGCGCCCCACUUGGCUUGGGGGGCACUCCACCCCCCUUGGCCGCCGCCCCCCUUGGAGAUUCAAUCUCCUAGGGUCGGCACCCCCCCUUGGGGUCCUAUAUAUAGUGGGGGGAUGGAGGGCAGCCGCACCCUAGCCCAUGGUGCCUCCCUCUCCCUCCCGUGACACUCCUCCCUCUCCCUGAGCUUGGCGAAGCCCUGCCGAGAUCACCGUUGCUUCCACCACCACGCCGUCGUGCUACUGGAUCUUCAUCAACCUCUCCUUCCCCCUUGCUGGAUCAAGUUGGAGGAGACGUAUUCCCAACCGUACGUGUGUUGAACGCGGAGGUGUCGUCCGUUCGGCGCUAGGUCAUCGGUGAUUUGGAUCACGACGAGUACGACUCCAUCAACCUCGUUCUCUUGAACGCUUCCGCGCGCGAUCUACAAGGGUAUGUAGAUGCACUCCUCUCUCCCUCGUUGCUAGAUGACUCCAUAGAUUGAUCUUGGUGAUGCAUAGAAAAUUUUAAAAUUCUGCUAUGUUCCCCAACAGUGGCAUCAUGAGCUAGGUCUAUGCGUAGUUUCUAUGCACGAGUAGAACACAAAGCAGUUGUGGGCGUGGAUAUUAUUAAUUUGCUUGCCGUUACUAGUCUUAUCUUGAUUCGGCGGCAUUGUGGGAUGAAGCGGCCCGGACCGACCUUACAUGUACGCUUACGUUAGACUGGUUCCACCGAUUGACAUGCACUAGUUGCAUAAGGUGGCCAGCGGGUGUCUGUCUCUCCCACUUUAGUCGGAUCGGAUUCGAUGAAAAGGGUCCUUAUGAAGGGUAAAUAGAAAUUGCCAUAUCACGUUGUGGUUUUGGCGUAGGUAAGAAACGUUCUUGCUAGAAACCUAUAGCAGCCACGCAAAAACUUGCAACAACAAUUAGAGGACGUCUAACUUGUUUUUGCAGCAUGUGCCGUGUGAUGUGAUAUGGCCAAAAGGAUGUGAUGAUUGAUAUAUGUGAUGUAUGAGAUUGAUCAUGUUCUUGUAACAGAAAUCAUGACUUGCAUGUCGAUGAGUAUGACAACCGGCAGGAGCCAUAGGAGUUGUCUUAAUUUAUUUAUGACAUGCGUGUCAACAUAAACGUCAUGUAAUUACUUUACUUUAUUGCUAAAGCAUUAGCCAUAGUAGUAGAAUUAAUAGAUGACGAGACAACUUCAAGAAGACACGAUGAUGGAGAUCAUGAUGAUGGAGAUCAUGGUGUCAUGCCGGUGACAACGAUGAUCAUGAAGCCCCGAAGAUGGAGAUUAAAAGGAGCAAAUGAUAUUGGCCAUAUCAUGUCACUAUUUGAUUGUAUGUGAUGUUUAUCAUGUUUUGCAUCUUAUUUGCUUAGAAUGACGGUAGCUUAAAUAAGAUGAUCCCACGUAAUAAUUUCAAGAAAGUGUUCCCCCUAACUGUGCACCGUUGUGAAGGUUCAUUGUUUCGAAGCACCACGUGAUGAUCGGGUGUGAUAGAUUCUAAUGUUCGAAUACAACGGGUGUAAGCCAGAUUUACACACGCAAUACACUUAGGUUGACUUGACGAGCCUAGCAUGUACAGACAUGGCCUCGGAACACGGAAGACCGAAAGGUCGAGCAUGUGUCGUAUAGAAGAUACGAUCAACAUGAAGAUGUUCACUGAUGUUGACUAGUCCGUCUCACGUGAUGAUCGGACGCGGCCUAGUUGACUCGGAUCAUGUUUCACUUAGAUGACUAGAGGGAUGUCUAUCUGAGUGGGAGUUCAUUGAAUAAUUUGAUUAGAUGAACUUAAUUAUCAUGAACUUAGUCUAAAAUCUUUACACUAUGUCUUGUAGAUCAAAUGGCCCACGCUAAUGUUGCCCUCAACUUCAACGCGUUCCUGGAGAAAACCAAGCUAAAAGAUGAUGGCAGCAACUAUACGGACUGGGUUCGGAACCUGAGGAUCAUCCUCAUAGCUGCCAAGAAAGAUUAUGUCCUAGAAGCACCGCUAGGUGACGCACCCAUCCCAGAGAACCAAGACGUUAUGAACGCUUGGCAGUCACGUGCUGAUGAUUACUCCCUCGUUCAGUGCGGCAUGCUUUACAGCUUAGAACAGGGGCUCCAAAAGCGUUUCAAGAGACACGGAGCAUAUGAGAUGUUCGAAGAGCUAAAAAUGGUUUUCCAAGCUCAUGCCCGGGUCGAGAGAUAUGAAGUCUCUGACAAGUUCUUCAGUUGUAAGAUGGAGGAAAAUAGUUCUGUCAGUGAGCACAUACUCAAAAUGUUUGGGUUGCAUAACCGCUUGACUCAGCUGGGAGUUAAUCUCCCGGAUGACGCGGUCAUUGACAGAAUCCUUCAGUCGCUUCCACCGAGCUACAAGAGCUUUGUGAUGAACUUCAAUAUGCAGGGGAUGGAAAAGACCAUUCCUGAGGUAUAUUCAAUGCUGAAAUCAGCGGAGGUGGAAAUCAAAAAGGAACAUCAAGUGUUGAUGGUGAAUAAAACCACUAAGUUCAAGAAAGGCAAGGGUAAAAAGAACUUCAAGAAGGACGACAAAGGAGUUGUCGCGCCCGGUAAGCAAGCUGCUGAGAAGAAGCCAAAGAAUGGACCCAAGCCCGAGACUGAGUGUUUUUAUUGCAAGGGAAGUGGUCACUGGAAGCGAAACUGCCCGAAAUACUUAGCGGACAAGAAGGCCGGCAACACUGAAGGUAUAUGUGAUAUACAUGUAAUUGAUGUGUACCUUACCAGUACUCAUAGUAGCUCCUGGGUAUUUGAUACCGGUGCGGUUGCUCACAUUUGUAACUCAAAGCAGGAGCUGCGGAAUAAGCGGAGACUGGCGAAGGACGAGGUGAUGAUGCACGUCGGGAAUGGUUCCAAGGUCGAUGUGAUCACCGUCGGCACGCUACCUCUACAUUUACCUACGGGAUUAGCUUUAAACCUCAAUGACUGUUAUUUAUGUUUUAUGGUCAUGCUCCGCUGGUGAAUGGUUUAUUCUUAAUGAAUCUCGAGCGUAAUGUUACACAUAUUCAUAGUGUGAAUACCAAAAGAUGUAAGGUUGAUAAUGAUAGUCCCACAUACUUGUGGCACUGCUGCCUUGGUCACAUAGGUAUCAAACGCAUGAAGAAGCUCCAUGCCGAUGGACUUUUGGAGUCUCUUGAUUACGAAUCAUUUGACACGUGCGAACCAUGCCUCAUGGGUAAAAUGACCAAGACUCCGUUCUCAGGAACAAUGGAGUGAGCAACCAGCUUAUUGGAAAUCAUACAUACUAAUGUGUGCGGUCCAAUGAGUGUUGAGGCUCGCGGUGGCUAUCGUUAUGUUCUCACCCUCACUGAUGACUUGAGUAGAUAUGGGUAUGUCCACUUAAUGAAACACAAGUCUGAGACCUUUGAAAAGUUCAAGGAAUUUCAGAGUGAGGCUGAAAAUCAAUGUGACAGAAAAAUCAAGUUCUUGCGAUCAGAUCGUGGGGGAGAAUACUUGAGUCACGAAUUUGUCACACACUUAAGGAAAUGUGGAAUAGUUUCACAACUCACGCCGCCUGGAACACCUCAGCGUAAUGGUGUGUAUGAACGUCGUAAUCGCACUCUAUUGGAUAUGGUGCGAUCUAUGAUGUCUCUUACCGAUUUACCGCUGUCAUUUUGGGGCUAUGCUUUAGAGACUGCCGCAUUCACUUUAAAUAGGGCUCCAUCAAAAUCCGUUGAAACGACACCGUAUGAAUUAUGGUUUGGGAAGAAACCUAAGCUGUCAUUUCUAAAAGUUUGGGGAUGCAAUGCUUAUGUCAAGAAACUUCAACCUGAAAAGCUCGAACCCAAGUCGGAAAAAUGCAUCUUCAUAGGAUACCCUAAAGAAACUAUUGGGUAUACCUUCUACCUCAGAUCCGAAGGCAAGAUCUUUGUUGCCAAGAAUGGAUCCUUUCUAGAGAAAGAGUUUCUCUCGAAAGAAAUAAGUGGGAGGAAAGUAGAACUUGAUGAAGUAUUACCUCUUGAACCGGAGAGUAGCGCAGCUCAGGAAAUUGUUCCUGAGGUGCCUGCACCGACUAGAGAGGAAGUUAAUGAUGUUGAUCAUGAAACUUCAGAUCAAGUUGCUACUGAACUUUGUAGGUCCACAAGGACACGUUCGGCACCAGAGUGGUAUGGCAACCCGGUCUUGGAAAUCAUGUUGUUAGACAAUAGUGAACCUUCGAACUAUGAAGAAGCGAUGGCGGGCUCGGAUUCUGACAAAUGGCUGGAAGCCAUGAAAUCCGAGAUAGGAUCCAUGUAUGAAAACAAAGUAUGGACUUUGACUGACUUGCCCGAUGAUCGGCGAGCCAUAGAAAAUAAAUGGAUCUUUAAGAAGAAGACAGACGCGGAUGGUAAUGUAACCAUCUAUAAAGCUCGGCUUGUCGCUAAGGGUUAUCGACAAGUUCAAGGGGUUGACUACGAUGAGACUUUCUCACCCGUAGCGAAGCUGAAGUUCGUCCGAAUCAUGUUAGCAAUUGCCGCAUUCUAUGAUUAUGAGAUAUGGCAAAUGGACGUCAAAACGGCAUUCCUUAAUGGUUUCCUUAAGGAAGAAUUGUAUAUGAUGCAGCCGGAAGGUUUUGUCGAUCCUAAGAAUGCUGACAAGGUGUGCAAACUCCAACGCUCGAUCUAUGAGCUGGUGCAAGCAUCUCGGAGUUGGAACAUUCAUUUUGAUGAGAUGAUCAAAGCGUUUGGGUUUACGCAGACUUAUGGAGAAGCCUGCAUUUACAAGAAAGUGAGUGAGAGCUCUGUAGCAUUUCUCAUAUUGUAUGUGGAUGACAAACUGUUGAUGGGAAAUGAUAUAGAAUUCUUGGAAAGCAUAAAGGCCUACUUGAACAAGUGUUUUUCAAUGAAGGAUCUUGGAGAAGCUGCUUACAUAUUAGGCAUCAAGAUCUAUAGAGAUAGAUCGAGACGCCUCGUUGGUCUUUCACAGAGUACGUACCUUGACAAGAUAUUGAAGAAGUUCAAUAUGGAUCAGUCAAAGAAGGGUUUCUUACUUGUAUUGCAAGGUACGAUAUUGAGCACGGCUCAAUGCCCGACCACGGCAGAAGAUAGAGAAAAGAUGAGUGAUGUCCCCUAUGCCUCGGUCAUAGGGUCUAUCAUGUAUGCUAUGCUGUGUACCAGACCUGAUGUAAACCUUGCCGUAAGUUUGGUAGGAAGGUACCAAAGUAAUCCCGGCAUGGAACACUGGACAGCGGUCAAGAAUAUCCUGAAGUACCUGAAGAGGACUAAGGAUAUGUUUCUCGUUUUUGGAGGUGACGAAGAGCUCGUCGUAAAGGGUUACGUCGAUGCUAGCUUCGACACAAAUCUGGAUGACAAUAAGUCACAAACCGGAUACGUGUAUAUUUUGAAUGGUGGGGCAGUAAGCUGGUGCAGUUGCAAGCAAAGCAUUGUGGCGGGAUCUACAUGUGAAGUGGAGUACAUGGCAACCUCAGAGGCAGCACAAGAAGCAAUUUGGGUGAAGGAGUUCAUUACCGACCUAGGAGUCAUACCCAAUGCGUCGGGCCCGAUGACUCUCUUCUGUGACAACACUGGAGCUAUUGCCCUUGCCAAGGAGCCUAGGUUUCACAGGAAGACCAGGCAUAUCAAGCGUCGCUUCAACUCCAUUUGUGAAAGUGUUCAAAAUGGAGACAUAGAUAUUUGUAAAGUACAUACGGACCUGAAUGUGGCAGAUCCGUUGACUAAACCUCUCCCUAGACCAAAACAUGAUCAACACCAGAACUGCAUGGGUGUUCGAUUCAUCACAAUGUAACUAGACUAUUGACUCUAGUGCAAGUGGGAGACUGUUGCAAAUAUGCCCUAGAGGCAAUAAUAAAAUGGUUAUUAUUAUAUUUCUCUGUUCAUGAUAAUUGUCUAUUAUUCAUGCUAUAAUUGUGUUAUCCAGAAAUCGUAAUACAUGUGUGAAUACAUAGACCACAACACGUCCCUAGUGAGCCUCUAGUUGACUAGCUCGUUGAUCAAAAGAUAGUCAUGGUUUCCUGACUAUGGACAUUGGAUGUCAUUGAUAACGGGAUCACAUCAUUGGGAGAAUGAUGUGAUGGACAAGACCCAAUCCUAAGCAUAGCUCAAAGAUCAUGUAGUUCGUUUGCUAUAGCUUUUCCGAAUGUCAAGUAUCAUUUCCUUAGACCAUGAGAUUGUGCGACUCCCGGAUACCGUAGGAGUGCUUUGGGUGUGCCAAACGUCACAACGUAACUGGGUGACUAUAAAGGUACACUACGGGUAUCUCCGAAAGUGUCUGUUGGGUUGGCACGAAUCGAGACUGGGAUUUGUCACUCCGUAUGACGGAGAGGUAUCUCUGGGCCCACUCGGUAAUGCAUCAUCAUAAUGUGCUCAUUGUGACCAAGUGGUUGAUCACGGGAUCAUGCAUUACGGUACGAGUAAAGUGACUUGCCGGCAAUGAGAUUGAACAAGGUAUUGGGAUACCGACGAUCGAGUCUCGGGCAAGUAACGUACCGAUUGACAAAGGGAAUUGUAUACGGGAUUGAUCGAAUCCUCGACAUCGUGGUUCAUCCGAUGAGAUCAUCGAGGAGCAUGUGGGAGCCAACAUGGGUAUCCAGAUCCGCUGUUGGUUAUUGACCAGAGAGUCGUCUCGGUCAUGUCUGCGUGUCUCCCGAACCCGUAGGGUCUACACACUUAAGGUUCAGUGACGCUAGGGUUGUUGAGAUAUUAGUAUACGGUAACCCGAAAGUUGUUCGGAGUCUCGGAUGAGAUCCCGGAUGUCACGAGGAGUUCCGGAAUGGUCCGGAGGUGAAGAUUUAUAUAUAGGAAGUCAAGUUUCGGCCAUCGGGAAAGUUUCGGGGGUAAUCGGUAUUGUACCAGGACCACCGGAAGGGUCCCGGGGGUCCACCGGGUGGGGCCACCUAUCUCGGAGGGCCCCAUGGGCUGAAGUGGGAGGGGAACCAGCCCCUAGUGGGCUGGUGCGCCCCCCCCCCCCAUGGGCCUCCCCUGCGCCUAGGGAUGGAAACCCUAGGGGUGGGGGCGCCCCACUUGGCUUGGGGGGCACUCCACCCCCCUUGGCCGCCGCCCCCCUUGGAGAUUCAAUCUCCUAGGGCCGGCCCCCCCUUGGGGUCCUAUAUAUAGUGGGGGAGGGAGGCAGCCGCACCCUAGCCCCUGGUGCCUCCCUCUCCCUCCCGUGACACUCCUCCCUCUCCCUGAGCUUGGCAAAGCCCUGCCGAGAUCAUCGUUGCUUCCACCACCACGCCGUCGUGCUGCUGGAUCUUCAUCAACCUCUCCUUCCCCCUUGCUGGAUCAAGUUGGAGGAGACAUCUUCCCAACCGUACGUGUGUUGAACGCAGAGGUGCCGUCCGUUCGGCGCUAGGUCAUCGGUGAUUUGGAUCACGACGAGUACGACUCCAUCAACCCCUUCUCUUGAACGCUACCGCGCGUGAUCUACAAGGGUAUGUAGAUGCACUCCUCUCUCCCUCGUUGCUAGAUGACUCCAUAGAUUGAUCUUGGUGAUGCGUAGAAAAUUUUAAAAUUCUGCUAUGUUCCCCAACACAUCCAUCUUUCCACUCAAAACAUUAAUUUCUUCUAUCGCAUGCACCCUUUUAUUAGUAGAUCUUUCAGUAUGCCAUUGAGAAUAAUUAACCAUAAUAUUAUAUAGGAGUUUAGUAGCUUCUCCUGAAGUGAUUUCCAUAAAAGUGCCUCCCGCGGCCAAAUCUAAAAGAUUUCUAGAAGCAAAAUUCAAUCCGGCAUAAAAAAUUUGUAUAAUCAUCCAUAAAUUUAAACCAUUAGUAGGGCAAUUACGUAUCAUUAAUUUCAUUAUCUCCCAAGCUUGUGCAACAUGUUCCUGAUCAAGUUGCUUAAAAUUCAUAAUAUCGUUUUUAAGAGAGAUGAUCUUAGCGGGAGGAAAAUACUUAGAGAUAAAAGCAUCUUUGCACUUGUUCCAUGAAUCAAUACUAUUUUUAGGCAAAGACGAAAACCAAGCUUUAGCACGAUCUCUAAGCGAAAAAGGAAAUAGCUUCAAUUUAACAAUAUCAUUAUCCACAUGUUUCUUCUUUUGCAUGUCACACAAAUCAACGAAGCUAUUUAGAUGGGUAGCGGAAUCUUCACUAGGAAGGUCGGAGAACGGAUUUUUCAUAACAAGAUUCAGCAAAGCAGCAUUAAUUUCACAAUAUUCAGCAUUGGUAAGAGGAGUAAUCGGAGUGCUAAUAAAAUCAUUGUUGUUGGUAUUGGUGAAGUCACACAAUUUAGUAUUAUCUUGAGCAAUCGUGACAAGCAAGAAAACUAACACACAAGCAAACAAAAAGCAAGUGGGCAAAAAGAGGCAAAUAGAGGGAGGAUAGAGAGAGAGGGCAAAUAAAACGGCUAGGGUGAAGUGGGGGAGAGGAAAACGAGAGGAAAAUGGCAAAUAAUGUAAUGCAUGAGAUAAGGGUAUGUGAUGGGUACUUGGUAUAUUGACUUUUAAGUAGACCUCCCCGGCAACGGCGCCAGAAAUCCUUCUUGCUACCUCUUUUAGCACUGUGUUGGUUUUCCUCGAAGAGGAAGGGACGAUGCAGCAAAGUAGCGUAAGUAUUUCCCUCAGUUUUUUAGAACCAAGGUAUCAAUCCAGUAUGAGGCUACGCGCGAGUCCCUCACACCUGCACAAAACAAAUAAAUCCUCGCAACCAACACAAAUAGGGGUUGUCAAUCCCUAUAAGGCCACUUACGAGAGUGAGAUUUGAUAGAUAUGAUAAGAUAAUAUUUUUGGUAUUUUUAUGAUAAAGAUGCAAAGUAAAAUAAAGGCAAAGUAAAUAGCAAAGUAAAUAACUAAGUAGUAGGAGAUUGAUAUGAUAAAGAUAGACCCGGGGGCCAUAGGUUUCACUAGUGGCUUCUCUCGAGAGCAUAAGUAUUCUACGGUGGGUGAACAAAUUACUGUUGAGCAAUUGACAUAAUUGAGCAUAGUUAUGAGAAUAUCUAGGUAUGAUCAUGUAUAUAGGCAUCAAGUCCGAGACAAGUAGACCGACUCCUGCCUGCAUCUACUACUAUUACUCCACUCAUCGACCGCUAUCCAGCAUGCAUCUAGAGUAUUAAGUUAAAAACAGAGUAACGCCUUAAGCAAGAUGACAUGAUGUAGGGGGAUAGACUCAUGCAAUAUGAAGUAAACCCCAUCUUGUUAUCCUCAAUGGCAAAAAUACAAUACGUGCCUUGCUGCCCUUACUGUCACCGAGAAAGGACACCGCAAGAUUGAACCCAAAGCUAAGCACUUCUCCCAUUGCAAGAAAGAUCAAUCUAGUAGGCCAAACCAAACUGAUAAUUCGAAGAGACUUGCAAAGAUAACCAAUCAUACAUAAAAGAAUUCAGAGAAGAUUCAAAUAUUAUUCAUAGAUAGACUUGAUCAUAAACCCACAAUUCAUCGGUCUCAACAAACACACCGCAAAAAGAAGAUUACAUCGAAUAGAUCUCCACAAGAGAGGGGGCGAACAUUGUAUUGAGAUCCAAAAAGAGAGAAGAAGCCAUCUAGCUACUAACUAUGGACCCGUAGGUCUGAGGUAAACUACUCACACUUCAUCGGAGAGGCUAUGGUGUUGAUGUAGAAGCCCUCCGUGAUCGAUGCCCCCUCCGGCGGAGCUCCGAAACAGGCCCCAAGAUGGGAUCUCGUGGAUACAGAAAGUUGCGGCGGUGGAAUUAGGGUUUUGGCUCCGUAUCUGAUCAUUUGGGGGUACGUGGGUAUAUAUAGGAGGAAGAAGUACGUCGGUGGAGCAACAGGGGGCCCACGAGGGUGGAGGGCGCGCCCCCCUACCUCGUGGCCUCCUGUUACGUGUCUUGACGUAGGGUCCAAGUCUCCUGAGUUGUAUUCGAUGAGAAAAUCACGUUCCCGAAGGUUUCAUUUCAUUUGGACUCCGUUUGAUAUUCCUUUUCUUCGAAACCCUAAAACAGGUAAAAACAACAAUUCUAGGCUGGGCCUCCGAUUAAUAGGUUAGUCCCAAAAAUAAUAUAAAAGUGGAUAAUAAAGCCCAAUAAUGUCCAAAACAGUAGAUAAUAUAGCAUGGAGCAAUCAAAAAUUAUAGAUACAUUGGAGAUGUAUCACCUACCAAUUGCUUUAUCAUGCGUCCCAUAUUGCCAUGUCAAGCCGCUAAUCCACCUUUCCUAGAAAACCGUUGAUUGGCUAUGUUACCGCUUUGCUCAGACCCUCUUAUAGCGUUGCUAGUUGCAGGUGAAGAUGAAGUUUGUUCCAUGUUGGAACAUCGAUUUUUGUUGGGAUAUCACAAUAUCUCUUAUUUUAAUUAAUGCAUCUAUAUACUUGGUAAAGGGUGGAAGGCUCGGCCUUAUGCCUGGUGUUUUGUUCCACUCUUGUCACCCUAGUUUCCAUCAUACCGGUGUUAUGUUCCUUGAUUUUGCGUUCCUUACACGGUUGGGUGUUAUGGGAACCCCUUGACAGUUCACUUUGAAUAAAACUCCUCCAGCAAGGCCCAGCCUUGGUUUUACAUUUGCCUCACCUAGCCUUUUGUCCCUUGGGUUUCCGGAGCCCAAGGGUCAUCUUUAUUUUAACACCCCCCCCCCCCCGGGGGGGCAGUGCUUCUCUAAGUGUUGGUCCAACUUGAGCGAUGUCCGGCGCCCCCUGGGCAACCAGGGUCUAUGCCAACCCGACAUCUUGCUCAUCUGGUGUGCCCUGAGAACAAGAUAUGUGCAGCUCCUAUCGGGAUUUGUCGGCACAUUUGGGCGGUCUUGCUGGUCUUGUUUUACCAUUGUCGAAAUGUCUUGUAACCGUGAUUCCGAGUCUGAUCGGGUCUUCCUGGGAGAAGGAAUAUCCUUCAUUGACCGUCAGAGCUUGUGAUGGGCUAAGUUGGGACACCCCUGCAGGGUUUUGAACUUUCAUAAGCCGUGCCCGCGGUUAUGGGCAGAUGGGAAUUUGUUAAUAUCCGGUUGUAGAGAACUUGACACUUAACUUAAUUAAAAUGCAUCAACCGCGUGUGUAGCCGUGAUGGUCUCUUUCCGGCGGAGUCUGGGAAGUGAACACGGUUUCGUGUUAUGCUUGAACGUAAGUAGUUUCAGGAUCAUUCUUGAUCAUUUUAGCCUCUUGACCAUGCUUUGCUUCUCUUCUCGCUCUCAUUUGCAUAAGUUAGCCACCAUAUAUGCUAGUGCUUGCUGCAGUUCCACCUCACUCCCCUUUCCUACCCAUAAGCUUAAAUACUCUUGAUCUCGCAGGUGUGAGAUUGCUGAGUCCUCGUGGCUCACAGAUACUUCCAAACAGUUGCAGGUGCCGAUGAUACCAGUGCAGGUGACGCAAUCCAGCUCAAGUGGGAGCUCGAUGAAGAUCAUGUUCGUUGUGUUGUUUCGUUUCCUUUUGAUCAGUAGUGGAGCCCAGUCGGGGCGAUCAGGGAUCUAGCAUUUGGGGUUGUCUUCUUUUAUUUUGGUUCCGUAGUCGGACCUUGAUUGUAUUCUGGAUGAUGUAAUGCUAUAUUUAUGUAUUGUGUGAAGUGGCGAUUGUAAGCCAACUCUUUAUCCCUUUCUUAUUCAGUACAUGGGAUGUGUAAAGGUUACCCCUCUUGCGACAUGCCUACUAUGCGGUUAUGCCUCUAAGUCAUGCUCCGACACGUGGGAGAUAUAGCUGCAUCGUGGGCGUUACAAGUUGGUAUCAGAGCUUCCCCGACUUAGGAGCCCCCUGCUUUAUCGAAUCGCUGGUGUUGUUGAGUCUAGAAAAAUGUUUUGAGUCUUUUAGGAUUAUAUAUAUCGGAGAGUAGGAUUCUUUUUACUCCUCAGUCCCUUCGUCGCUCUGGUGAGGCCUCCUGGCGUAGAGUUUUGACUCUUCUUUCCUCAAAUUUCACAAAAAAAAUUAGGAUCACGCGGGUAUCUUGGAAUCGUUCCGAUGGUUUUGUGACGAGACCAUUGUUCUUGGUGCCUCCUGACAUUUAGGGGUUGUGGCAGUGUCCCGGGGAGUUGAGCUCCGAGGUGUUGUCGUCACAAUUUUAACGUUGCAGUUCUGGAAUACCUAAGUUUGCCGGCAUCGAAAAUCUCUUUUGUGCAGUUGUUGGUGAGAUAACCUCGACGCCACCCAGUACUGGGGUGGGAGUUCGGGAGUAUUGUCAUAACUCGUAUAACGGAUGCUUUUCGAAGGUUGAGGUAAAUGAUUUCCGAAGGUUUCUUGGUUAUGUGUUGAAGGAUGGAUACAGUUGGAUGUAGGAUUUGUUAGUUUGGGUGAGAUAUUAUGCUUCGCCUGUAUCCCCAACACCUGAUUGCAUAACCAGAAAGUUUCGGGAGUUUAUAAGUGGGAAUUCAAGUAUCACGUAGGAUAUCUUUCCAACAGACACAUGAUACGAUAUAGUAUCUAUCAUAUGUUUGUUUCCGGCUUAUCCUGCAAGCCAAUCCUUUGUUUUGUUUUGAGUUGUGGUAUUCGAGUUGCUUCGAAGUCAAGUGUUGAUUCCAUACCUUCCCUAAGCGGUGUUUUCACAUUUCUAUGUGAAUACCAAUCCUUCAUGAUAAUUGAGAUUGUCAUGUCAAUCCUUUUCAACCGGCGUGUUCCUCCUCAAGUGGAUCUGAUCAUUUCAACAUCCGCAAGAUCAACUCUAAGUUUUCUCGAUGGUACCCUUUUUCAUCCGUCUCCAAGUUGCCUUUGUUUUCCCGCCCUCCCACCCUUUUUCUUCAAGGACUCAAAUAUCAUAAUCAAGUAUCCAUUUUAUUCAUGUGAAGUCUCUUCAUUCUUUUUAAUCAAUGUUUUUACCCGGUGAUUCUCAUGAAGAUGCUCUUCAAGCUUAUGACUCUUCACUCAUUUUCUUCUCCGGUGGAUUCAAUUCAAGUUUUCAGUGUUGAUCAUAUUCCUUUCCUUGUUUCAAAUAUUUUAUCAUGCCGGUGCACCUCUUAAUCAUCCACUCCUCGCUAUUCAUUUGUUCUGGAGUGCUGAAGAUAUCUCAGAAGAUUUGCGUCUCCAUUAUCAAUCCGUUCAAGAAUAUCUUGAGGUUGUUAUCUCUUUUGAGCCAUUUAAUUCAACCGGCGCUAUCUUUCUUUUAAAUCAUACGAUGGUGUAUCUUUUGAGUGGGCCCUAACCCACGGGUCUUUUUCCAGGAUCUUACCUGACUCUUAUAAUUUUCCCGGAGUUGUUCUCAAAUUCUUUUCGAAGUUUGACGUAUGAAUGAAUUAUAAUCAGUCAGUUGGUUUCUCCAAGAUCUUAUAACCCUUUUCAUUGUUGGCUCAACCGAAGACUUUUCAUUCUCCCGGAGUAUCUCAACAAUUCAUGGUGGUGUUUUCUUAUCGUCAUUCUCAACAUUUGAAGGCCGAAGAAGAGUUUUCCCUCCAAAUCAUAUCUGUUCUCUUGAAGAUUCGUGGUUCUAGCUUGAUGCCAUCCUCUCAUAAUUGUUUUUGAUUGUGAGAAUUCUUUUCACCCAUCCAGAGCUAUUCAAGAGUCUUUUCAGUUUGAUUCUCCGGAGCCCAUCAUCUCAGAAUUAUUCAUUCUUAGCUUUCAGCUCUCAUUCUCGAAAUCUUACCGGUGCAUCGUUCAAAUAUCCUCUAAUCAGUUCAUGAUCUCUUCGUUCUCAUGUAUUUAAAUCCUAGCAAGCAUCUUCGUUCAUUUGCUAAUUCUUCCCAGUGUUUCUUUAUCUUUUCUUCGUUCAUUUUCAAUCCUUACGGUGGUUCGUUCAAGAGUUCUCUUUCUUGGUUAUCAUAUCAAUUUAUUCAUUGUUUCAAUCCUACCGGUGGUUCAUCGAAGGCCUCUUCAAGUUGGCGCCAUAUCUAUCUUAAUCCUUUCUACAAGAAUAAGUAGUAUGCCAAAUCCGUUGCUUGUCAUCAAUUUAAAAUGGUGAAAGAUAAGCAUACUGUAAUUCUUAUUCUUGUUUCAUCGAGUAAAUUAUAUUCCUUAUUUCGGAUACUGUAAUUCUUAUUCUUGUUUCAUCGAGUAAAUUAUAUUCCUUAUUUCGGAGGCUCAUCAAAAAUUCUUGAUUUCUUUUGUUCAUCUUUCUUUUCCGGAGUUCAAAGUUUCCACUUUAUCUCGUCAUGAAGAUCCAUCUAUACCAUUGCAAGACUUCAAUCUUAUUCUUUUCAUCCUUCACUUCUUUUGAUCAUCCUUUUAUUACCGGAGUUCUUUAUGGAGGCUCAACAUGGUGGUUCGUCAAGGUUUCCUUUCAUUCUCGAUUUGUUCUUCAAGAUUCCUAUCGGAGUUAAGAUCCGCCUAGCUAUACUCUCAAAUAAACAUGGUGAUCAACACAUGUUUUGUUUUGAGGAGUUCAAGUAUUCUUCAUCUUGCUUUCCGAAGUGCAAUUCUUUCUACCGUAUCAUUUGAGGUGGUGUUAUGUCAUUUUUGACAAUUUGAGUUGGUGUUUCAUGAUUCACAUGUUGUCAAUAAUGAGGUAUUUUAAAUCCAGCAUUUUCUUUAUGGUGUUAUCUUGGAAAAAUUCACCUAAAGCCUUCCAUUCAGAAUGCUGCUAUCAUGGUGUUUGUCAACAAUCCAAGUUUCUCCUUCUCAUCUCGGCGAAAGAGUUUUCAUCUUCGUGUUGCUCUCAAGCAAUCAAUUGUUUUCCGUUAGUGGCAGAAUUUCAUCUCAUAAUUUUGAGAUGUCUUCCAUAAGCCCACAUCAAGCUUAUCCUUCCGUUGUUGAAAAUCCAACAACUCCGUUCUAGCAUUUGUUGUAAGCGUGAUCUCUCAAGAUCUUGUUUCCCUCCGUUCAUUUUAUUCCAUUCUUUCUUCUUCCAGAGGCAUUGUGAUGUUGCUCUCUUCACUCUUCGUCUCAAAUUGUGAGGAUCAUGUUCUUUCCUUUUGCUUAUCCAUUCAACCGGAGUGUCGUGUUUUUCACUCGAGCUCUCUCAUCUUAUCAAGUUUUACCUCCAUUCUCAACCGGAGUGCUGUCUGAAAUCUUUCUUACCCCUUGUGCCAUUCUUUCAAUAGUUCCGGAGGCAGUGUGUUGUUGAUCUCAUCAAGUAUGCUCUCAUCUUGUCAAGUUCUUUUUAAUUCCUUCCAUUUACAAUCGGAGUGCUGUCCAAUUUAUAUCAUUCUUAUUCCUUCUCUAUCUUGUUUUAACCGGAGUGUUCUGCCUAUCAUUCCCCUUCUAACCGGUCUCUCAUCCAAGUGCUUUCAUUUUGCCAAGUUCAUAUUCCUACCGGAGUGCUUGCAUGUACUUCUUAACUAUUGCAACCCUUUUACUAAUGUCUUUCAACCUACAAGGUUCUAGUAAUGUUCCUUGUUCCUUUUUUUCUAACUGAGUGUUUUCAAUUUCGUUCAUCUCCGUUGUAUUCUUCUUGCAAAUUGUUUAACCUCUCAAGGUUCUUUGGUUUCACUCAUUUGUCAAAGAAGCAACUUAGCUUUACCUUUUCUCUUCCUCUUCCGUUUCUCUCCGGUGCCAUCCUAGAUCUCGGGAUGAGAUCCUCUCGUAGUGGUGGAGUGUUGUGACGCCCCGAGACCGUUGCGCCAGGUGUCUCCCAGUUGUUCGCCGUCGUUGCCAUGUCAUUUUCUCGCGUGUUGCUUCUUGCCAUGUCAUCAUGUGCAUUGCAUCAUCAUGUUUUCAAAACAUGCAUCUGUCCCGGUCUCCCAGUUCCUUCCGUUGUCCAUUCUCAGCCUAGACACACUUGCACGCGCCCACAGCAUGUCCGAAAUAGUGUUUUAUAAGUGGCCGAAAAAAUGUUCUCGGAAUGGGUUGAAAGUUGGCAUGCGGUGUUGUUAUGUUGUCAGUAGGCCGCCUGCGAAGUUUCAUCGCAUUCGGAGUCCGUUUGACGCCCCAACGGAUAACUAUAGCGGCAAUAUAGCCGGUCUUUUCGAUGGACGUUUUCGGUCUCCAGAAACAGUCGUCGGGUCUCUCUCUCUUUUCUCUCCUCUCAGCCCGAGGCCUUCUGCACAACCCACCUAGUCCAUCUACUUAUCCCCUCCGCUCCGGACCGUUGGAUCGAGAUCCGAUGCCCGAGAACAGAAGAAAACCCCUCCUAAUCCCCCCUAACCCUAAACCUUCCCUAUAUGUAGACCCCUCCUGUCAUUUUUGGGUAGCCUAGCCCCUCCACCUACCUCCAUCCACCAAUCCUCCUCAAUUUCCGCGCCUGCCCGCUCCCCCGCCGCCACUUGUCGCGGCUAGCUCCUCCCCAGCUGCCGUCCUGCCACUUGGCGCCGUCUGCUUGGCCACGCCGCCAUCUGAGGAGUCGCCCCGGCCUAUCGGGUGCCUCCACGUCACCUCCCCACGUCCUCCCCGCGCCUCCCACUAUGCAGGGCCCGCCGGAGCCCAUCGCGAGCCAAAUCAGGCCCGACACCGCCCUGCAGGCGAUCGAGCCGCCCCACUCCUCCCACCUCCCGCACCCUCUCGCUCGAUCCCAAUGGGAUCGAAAGCGCUCGCCGCCGCCCACUGGAUGGAGCCAUCUGCCGCCACCAUCUCCGGGGAUGAGUCCAGGCCAGUGCCUCGCGCCCUUCUCCUUCUUCCUCCCAUCUCUGUUUUUCCUCGCUCUCUAAUCUCUCCAGCCCUCUCUCUGCUAACAGGAGCGAUGCAUGGAGCUCGUACAUGGCGCCCGAAGCAUGGAGCUCCGCUCCGUUCGUUGGAUCCGUCCACCGCUGCCCUGAUCUGAACCCCCACGUCUAGAUCCGGCACUGCCCACCGUCUUCGACCUCCCUGUCGCGUCGCCCGCUGGAUCCGCUGUCCGUGUCGCCAAGCCCAGCCGCAACCAUCGACAUCUGCAACCCCUACUUCGUGAAUGAGACCAGGCUGCGUUGACCUGUUCCUCUGCCAGCGUGGCUGAGAACCACGUCGCCACACAGGGCCUCCUCUUGCCUCGCCAAGGCUCGGCCUGCCUCCAUCAACUGGAUCAGGCCCGCUGGGUGAGAUGCCUUCCCCAGCGCCUGUUCCUGAUGGGCCAACCAGAUCCGGCCCGUAUCGUGUUUUUUUCAUAGAACGUUUUCCUAUUUUAACCAGGGUUUUGCAGUUUUACAGAAAACCCCUUGAACAACAUGCAUAUAAUAACUCACAAAUGGCGCAUCAUAUUAAAACAAACUUUAAAUGAAAUAUGACUAGAAUUUCAUCUAGUUUCAUAAUAUGCCACUUUCAUGGAUGUUUAAAAUGUUUAAAAUGUUGUUUGUUUAAAUUUUUUUCUAAUUACAUGCUAAAAUGAUUUAAUUCAUAUCUAAUAAACCGUAGCUCGGUUUUAAAUAAAUUAUAUAUGUAAAUGGGGUAGGAAAAUGCCUAGUUUAACAUGGUGGCAUCUUCUUGCAUGUUUAACAACUCUAAAAUAUUCUUUAGGGCAGAACAGUACCAAAUCUAAUAUAUGCUCAUGAGGAUUUUUCCGGACUUGUUGCUUGUUGUUCCGGCCUCAUUUAAACUUGCCUAGAUAGGUAGUUUUCAUAUGCUUCACCUCUUGCCAUGCUAACCAACAUUUAAUAUAGAUGAGUACUUAAACGGGAGAGAACUAAAUAAUUAAAUGUGGUGUUUCGUCAAUAUGCAACUCGUUGCAUAUUGAGCUCCACUUAACUUGUAGCUUUGUCUGUGCUUUUUGCCAAACCGGACAUGCACCAUACUUGGUUGUGCAUAAUGCCAUGUUUAUGUGAUGGUUGUUUACUAUGUUGCUUGCUUCUUUCCGGGUUGCUUCUCUCGUUAGCUUCGGUUUCGUUCCGGAGUUGUGAGGGUCCGUUCGACUACGUCUGUUUGUCUUCUUCAUGGACUCGUUCUUCUUCCUUGCGGGAUCUCAGGCAAGAUGACCAUACCCUCGAAAUCACUUCUAUCUUUGCUUGCUAGUUGCUCGCUCUAUUGCUAUGCCACGAUACCUACGACUUGCUUUAUCAUGCCUCCCAUAUUGCCAUGUCAAGCUGCUAAUCCACCUUUCCUAGCAAACCAUUGAUUGGCUAUGCUACCGCUUUGCUCAGCCCCUCUUAUAGCGUUGCUAGUUGCAGGUGAAGAUGAAGUUUGUUCCAUGUUGGAACAUCAAUUUUUGUUGGGAUAUCACAAUAUCUCUUAUUUUAAUUAAUGCAUCUAUAUACUUGGUAAAGGGUGGAAGGCUCGGCCUUAUGCCUGGUGUUUUGUUCCACUCUUGCCGACCUAGUUUCCGUCAUGCCGGUGUUAUGUUCCUUGAUUCUGCGUUCCUUACACGGUUGGGUGUUAUGGGAACCCCUUGACAGUUUGCUUUGAAUAAAACUCCUCCAGCAAGGCCCAACCUUGGUUUUACAUUUGCCUCACCUAGCUUUUUUCCCUUGGGUUUUCGGAGCCCGAGGGUCAUCUUUAUUUUAACCCCCCCCUGGGGCUAGUGCUUCUCUAAGUGUUGCUCCAACCUGAGCGAUGUCCGGCGCCCCCUGGGCAACCAGGGUCUAUGCCAACCCGACGCCUUGCUCAUCCGGUGUGCCCUGAGAACGAGAUAUGUGCAGCUCCUAUCGGGAUUUGUCGGCACAUUCGGGCGGUCUUGCUGGUCUUGUUUUACCAUUGUCGAAAUGUCUUGUAACCGGUAUUUCGAGUCUGAUCGGGUCUUCCUGGGAGAAGGAAUAUCCUUCAUUGACCGUGAGAGCUUGUGAUGGGCUAAGUUGGGACACCCCUGCAGGGUUUUGAACUUCCGUAAGCCGUGCCCGUGGUUAUGGGCAGAUGGGAAUUUGUUAAUAUCCGGUUGUAGAGAACUUGACACUUAACUUAAUUAAAAUGCAUCAACCGCGUGUGUAGCCGUGAUGGUCUCUUUCCGGCGGAGUCCGGGAAGUGAACACGGUUUCGUGUUAUGCUUGAACGUAAGUAGUUUCAGGAUCAUUCUUGAUCAUUUUAGCCUCUCGACCAUGCUUUUCUUCUCUUCUUGCUCUCAUUUGGGUAAGUUAGCCACCAUAUAUGCUAGUGCUUGCUGCAGUUCCACCUCACUCCCCUUUCCUACCCAUAAGCUUAAAUAGUCUUGAUCUCGUGGGUGUGAGAUUGCUGAGUCCUCGUGGCUCACAGAUACUUCCAAACAGUUGCAGGUGCCGAUGAUACCAGUGCAGGUGAUGCAAUCCAGCUCAAGUGGGAGCUCGAUGAAGAUCGUGUUCGUUGUGUUGUUUCGUUUCCUUUUGAUCAUUAGUAGAGCCCAGUCGGGGCAAUCGGGGAUCUAGCAUUUGGGGUUGUCUUCUUUUAUUUUGGUUCCGUAGUCGGACCUUGAUUGUAUUCUGGAUGAUGUAAUGCUAUAUUUAUGUAUUGUGUGAAGUGGCGAUUGUAAGCCAACUCUUGAUCCCUUUCUUAUUCAGUACAUGGGAUGUGUAAAGAUUACCCCUUUUGCGACAUGCCUAGUAUGCGGUUAUGCCUCUAAGUCAUGCUCUGACACGUGGGAGAUAUAGCCGCAUCAUGGGUGUUACAUUGAUGUAGUAGUCGGACGCUAUGUAUGAGAUUAUGUAGAGAUAGUUUACGAUGCAAUGUGGUUGUAUGGAUUUGAGAAUUUGCUAGCAAUGAGGUACGUGAUUAUGGAAGAGGACAUUUAAAUGGUGAUUGAUUGUGUUCGUAGACGUUUGAGAGGCGGAUUAGCUAUACCGGCUGUAAAUGCUCCAAAUGCAUAUUUUCAGAUCAAUGCCCAAACCUGAGUUCUCUUUAUGUCUCAUGAAGGAUCCUAACCAUCUUCUUAAGCCAACUCCAACGCAUGACCCCAUUUGCUCCGGCCAUGUCCAUUUGGGGCCAAACAAAAACAAAUCGCGGCCCAAGUCUCGGGAGCAAAUGGAUGAGUGUUUGUUUUUUGUCCGCUGCCGACCAAUUUUUGACCCAAAUUUGGGUCGCAUUUGCGCCGAAACGAGCAGCGCACGAACACAGGAGGCAUUUUCCUUGUCCUCCCCUGGCCCAUCUGUCGGUGAAAUAGUCCCCUUUUCACCUGGCAUACGUGGCCUCCCCCCCCCCUCCUCGCCCUCUCGCAUAGCCGCCACCCAUUUCUUGACGCCUCCUCGCUAUCCAGCCCGACCGCCCAAAACUUGACCACCCCACGCUAUAGCCACCCCCGCCCACAAUUCAGAUGUGUUAUUGCCUGCGUCUAUGGCUUUUAUCACCUCCUCUGGUACCAGGGAAGCUCAUCGACCCCAACCCCUUUCGGUUGGCAUUGCAAGGCCGCCUCCCGCCGGUCGUCAAUGCUUCUACAGGCUCAUUGCCUGUGUGGGGAGGCCGAGUUGCUCUUCACCGGCCGCGUCUCCAACACGAACGCAAGGUGUUUGAUACUUUGCUUGCAAGGUACCAUGGAUAGUGGGGACGAGUUUUUUUCAACAACUUCAUUUCUUCAUCGGAUGACGAAGAGCUUGUGGUUGUUGCAUUGGUCGUCAAUGACCACAUCUCUAGGCGGUGGCCUUUGCUCAAGGGAUCAAUCCUGGGCCAUGCUCUGGCCUUGAACCACAAUCGGGAGAGCAGUCAUGCCCGGCUCUAUGCCGAUUACUUUGAGGAUUCCCCGCUCUUCAAACCGCAUCUUUUUCGCCAUCGAUUCCGGAUGGCGAGACAUGUGUUCAAUCUAUUUAGGAGGGAGUCGUAGAAUAUGACCCAUGCUUUGAGUGCAAAUAGAUUUCCCUUGGCAAGGUUGGCUUCUCCUCUUACCAGAAAUGCACUGUGGCUAUUCGUAUGCUUGCAUAUGGAAUUCUGGGCGAUCUUGUGGAUGAGUAUGCACGUAUGAGUGAGUCCGCAUGUCUCAAAUCAAUGUACAAUUUUUGCAAGGCCGUGUUGGCAGUGUUUGGGCCUGAGUACCUAAGAGAGACAAAUGUCGUAGAUAUAGCCUGGUUGUUGGCGAUUGAUGCAGAUAGAGGCUUUCCGGGAAUGCUUGGGAGCAUAGAUUAUAUGCACUGGAAGUGGAAGAAUUGCCCAUUUGCCAGGCAGGGGCAGUACAAGGGGCAUGUCAAAGGUUGAACUAUCAUACUAGAAGUCGUGGCUUCACAAGAUCUUUGAAUAUGACACUCCUUCUUUGGCAUGGCUGGUUCUCACAAUGAUAUCAACAUGCUUCAGCGUUCUCCAGUGUUCGCAAGGCUUGCAGAAGGCCACUCCCCAGAGGUCAACUUUGAGAUCAAUGGCCACCAAUACAACAAGGGAUACUACCUAGCUGAUGGUAUCUAUCAUCGGUGGUCAACUCUUGUGAAGAUAAUACCCAAUCUAGGAGAGAAGAGACCGAGAUUUUCCCAACAGCAAGAGAGUGCUAGGAAGGAUGUGGAGCGUGAUUUUGGUGUGCUUCAAUCUCGAUGUAGUAUCGUUUGACACCCUGCACUGACAUGGAGCAUCGAGAAGCUUUGAGAGGUGAUGACUAUUUGUGUGAUCAUGCACAAUAUGAUCGUGGAGGAUGAGCGUGAUGACAACAACUACGACCAAGGGUUCGAAUAUCAUGGUGAAAAUUUUAUGCUUGAGCACUAAGAACCAGCAACAUUUGAAAAGUUCAUCCUAUUCCUGAAGGAAAUAUGCCCUAGAGGCAAUAAUAAAGUUAUUAUUUAUUUCCUUAUAUCAAGAUAAAUGUUUAUUAUUCAUGCUAGAAUUGUAUUAACCGGAAACAUAAUACAUGUGUGAAUACAUAGACAAACAGAGUGUCACUAGUAUGCCUCUACUUGACUAGCUUGUUGAUCAAAGAUGGUUAUGUUUCCUAACCAUAGACAUGAGUUGUCAUUUGAUUAAUGGGAUCACAUCAUUAGGAGAAUCAUGUGAUUGACUUGAACCAUUCCGUUAGCAUAGCACUUGAUCGUUUAGUUUGUUACUAUUGCUUUCUUCAUGACUUAUACAUGUUCCUAUGACCAUGAGAUUAUGCAACUCCCGUUUACCGAAGGAACACUUUGUGUGCCACCAAACGUCACAACGUAACUAGGUGAUUAUAAAGGUGAUCUACAGGUGUCUCCGAAGGUACUUGUUGGGUUGGCGUAUUUCGAGAUUAGGAUUUGUCACUACGAUUGUCGGAGAGGUAUCUCUGGGCCCUCUCGGUAAUGCACAUCACUUAAGCCUUGCAAGCAUUGCAACUAAUGAGUUAGUUGUAGGAUGAUGUAUUACGGAACGAGUAAAGAGACUUGCCGGUAACGAGAUUGAACUAGGUAUUGAGAUACCGACGAUCGAAUCUCGGGCAAGUAACAUACCGAUGACAAAGGGAACAACGUAUGUUGUUAUGCGGUUUGACCGAUAAAGAUCUUCGUAGAAUAUGUGGGAGCCAAUAUGAGCAUCCAGGUUCCGCUAUUGGUUAUUGACCGGAGACGUGUCUCGGUCAUGUCUACAUUGUUCUCAAACCCGUAGGGUCCGCACGCUUAAGGUUUCGAUGACAGUUAUGUUAUGAGUUUAUGAGUUUUGAUGUACCGAAGGAGUUCGGAGUCCCGGAUGAGAUCGGGGACAUGAUGAGGAGUCUCUAAAUGGUCGAGACGUAAAGAUCGAUAUAUUGGACGACUAUAUUCGAACAUCGGAAAGGUUCCGAGUGAUUCGGGUAUUUUUCGGAGUACCGGAGAGUUACGGGAAUACGUAUUGGGCCUUAUUGGGCCAUACGGGAAAGAAGGAAAAGGGCCUCAAGGGUGGCCACACCCCUCCCCUUGGUCUGGUCCGAAUUGGACUAGGGAAGGGGGGUGCCCCCUUCCUUCCUUCUCCUUUUCCCUUCCUCUUUUCCUAUUCCAUAUGGGAGGUGGAAUCCUACUAGGACUAGGGAGUCCUAGUAGGACUCCACACUUGGCGCGCCCCCUCCUAGGGCCGGCCUCCUCCUCCCUUGCUCCUUUAUAUACGGGUGCAGGGGGCACCCCAAAGACACAACAAUUGAUCAUUGAUCUCUUAGCCGUGUGCGGUGCCCCCUUCCACCAUAAUCCUCGAUAAUAUUGUAGCGGUGCUUAGGCGAAGCCCUGCGACGGUAGAACAUCAAGAUCGCCACCACGCCGUCGUGCUGACGGAACUCUUCCCCGACAUUCUGCUGGAUCGGAGUCCGAGGAUCGUCAUUGAGCUGAACGUGUGCUAGAACUCGGAGGUGCCGUAGUUUCGGUGCUUGAUCGGUCGGGCCGUGAAGACGUACGACUACAUCAACCGCAUUGUGCUAACACUUCCGCUUUCGGUCUACGAGGGUACGUAGACAACACUCUCCUAUCUCGUUGCUAUGCAUCACCAUAAUCUUGCGUGUGCGUAGGAAAUUUUUUGAAAUUACUACGUUCCCCUACAGUGGCAUCCGAGCCUAGGUUUUAUGCGUUGAUGUUAUGCACGAGUAGAACACAAGUCAGUUGUGGGCGAUAUAAGUCAUACUGCGUACCAGCAUGUCAUACUUUGGUUCGGCGGUAUAGUUGGAUGAAGCGGCCCGGACCGACAUUACGCGUACGCGUAUGCUUACGCGAGACUGGUUCUAUCGACGUGCUUUGCACAUAGGUGGCUGGCGGGUGUCAGUUUCUCCAACUUUAGUUGAACCGAGUGUGGCUACGCCUGGUCCUUGCGAAGGUUAAAACAGCAUCAACUUGGCAAACUAUCGUUGUGGUUUUGAUGCGUAGGUAAGAACGGUUCUUGCUAAGCCCGUAGCAGCCACGUAAAACUUGCAACAACAAAGUAGAGGACGUCUAACUUGUUUUUGCAGGGCAUGUUGUGAUAUGGUCAAGACAUGAUGCUAAAUUUUAUUGUAUGAGAUGAUCAUGUUUUGUAACCGAAUUAUCGGCAACUGGCAGGAGCCAUAUGGUUGUCGCUUUAUUGUAUGCAAUGCAAUCACGCUGUAAUGCUUUACUUUAUCACUAAGCGGUAGCGAUAGUCGUGGAAGCAUAAGAUUGGUGAGACGACAAUGAUGCUACGAUGGAGAUCAAGGUGUCACGCCGGUGACGAUGGUGAUCAUGACGUUACUUCGGAGAUGGAGAUCACAAGUACAAGAUGAUGAUGGCCAUAUCAUAUCACUUAUAUUGAUUGCAUGUGAUGUUUAUCUUUUAUGCAUCUUAUCUUGCUUUGAUUGAUGGUAGCAUUAUAAGAUGAUCCCUCACUAAAUUAUCAAAGUAUAAGUGUUCUCCCUGAGUAUGCACCAUUGCGAAAGUUCUUCGUGCUGAGACACCACGUGACGAUCGGGUGUGAUAGGCUCUACGUUCAAAUACAACGGGUGCAAAACAGUUGCACACGCGGAAUACUCAGGUUAAACUUGACGAGCCUAGCAUAUAACACAUAUGGCCUCGGAACACGGAGAUCGAAAGGUCGAGCGUGAAUCAUAUAGUAGAUAUGAUCAACAUAGUGAUGUUCACCAUUGAAACUACUCCAUCUCACGUUAUGAUCGGACAUGGUUUAGUUGAUUUGGAUCACGUGAUCACUUAGAGGAUUAGAGGGAUGUCUAUCUAAGUGGGAGUUCUUAAGUAAUAUGAUUAAAUGAACUUUAAUUUAUCAUGAACUUAGUCCUGGUAGUAUUAGCAUAUCUAUGUUGUAGAUCAAUAGCUCGCGUUUAGCUCCCCUGUUUAUUUUUGAUAUGUUCCUAGAGAAAACUAAGUUGAAAGAUGUUAGUAGCAAUGAUGCGGAUUGGAUCCAUGAUCUGAGGUUUAUCCUCAUUGCUGCACAGAAGAAUUAUGUCUUUGAUGCACCGCUAGGUGACAAACCUAUUGUAGGAGCAGAUGCAGAUGUUAUGAACAUUUGGCUAGCUCAAUAUGAUGACUACUUGAUAGUUUAGCGCACCAUGCUUAAACGGCUUAGAAUCGGGACUUCAAAGACGUUUUGAACGUCAUGGACCAUAUGAGAUGUUCCAGGAGCUGAAGUUAAUAUUUCAAGCAAAUACCCGAGUUACGAGAUAUGAAGUCUACAACAAGUUCUAUAGCUAAAAGAUGGAGGAGAAUAGCUCAAGCAGGGAGCAUGUGUUCAGAUUGUCUGGGUACUAUAAUCGCUUGAAUCAAGUGGGAGUUAAUCUUCCAAAUAAAAUAGUGAUUGACAAAAUUCUCUAGUCACCAUCACCAAGUUAGUAGAACUUCGUGAUGAACUAUGAUAUGCAAGGGAUAACAGAAACGAUUCCCAAGCUCUUUGUAAUGCUGAAAUCGACGAAGGUAGAAAUCAAGAAAAAUAUCAAGUGUUGAUGGUAGAGAAUACCACUAGUUUCAAGGAAAGGGCAAAGGGAAGAAGGGGAACUUCAAGAAGAACGGCAAGCAAGUUGCUGCUCAAGUGAAGAAGCCCAAAUCUGGUCCUAAGCCUGAGACUAAGUGCUUCUACUGCAAAGGGACUGGUCACUGGAAGCGGAACUGCCCCAAGUAUUUGGCGGAUAAGAAGGAUGGCAAAGUGAACAAAGGUAUAUUUGAUAUACAGAUUAUUGAUGUGUAUUUUACUAGUGUUCGUAGCAACCCCUCGGUAUUUGAUGCUGGUUCAGUUGCUAAGAAUAGUAACUCGAAACGGGAGUUGCAGAAUGAACAGAGACUAGUUAAGGGUGAAGUGACGAUGUGUGUUGGAAGUGGUUCCAAGAUUGGUAUGAUCAUCAUCGCACACUCCCUAUACUUUCGGGAUUAGUGUUGAACCUAAAUAAGUGUUAUUUGGUGUUUGCGUUGAGCAUGAUAUGAUUUGAUCAUGUUUAUUGCAAUACGGUUAUUCACUUAAGUAAGAGAAUAAAUUGUUGUUCCGUUUACAUGAAUAAAACCUUAUAUGGUUACACACCCAAUGAAAAUGGUUCGCUGGAUCUCGAUCGUAGUGAUACACAUAUUCAUAAUAUUGAAACCAAAAGAUGCAAAGUUAAUAAUGAUAGUGCAACUUAUUUGUGGCACCGCCGUUUAGGUCAUAUUGGUAUAAAGCGCAUGAAGAAACUCCAUGUUGAUGGACUUUUGGAAUCACUUGAUUAUGAAUCAGUUGAUGCUUGCGAGCCAUGCCUCAUGGGCAAGAUGAAUAAGACUCCGUUCUCCGGAACAAUGCGGCAAGCAACAAAUUUCUUGGAAAUCAUGCAUACUAAUGUAUGUGGUCCGAUGAAUAUUGAAGCUCGCGGCAGGUAUCAUUAUUUUCUGAUCUUCACAGAUGAUUUGAGCAGAUAUGAGUAUAUCUACUUGAUGAAACACAAGUCUGAAACAUUUGAAAAGUUCAAAGAAUUUCAGAGUGAAGUGGAGAAUCAUCGUAGCAAAAUAAAAGUUUCUACGAUAUGAUCGCAGAAGUAAAAUAUUUGAGUUACGAGUUUGGCCUUCAGUUAAAACAAUGUGAAAUAGUUUCAUUACUCACGCCACCUGGAACACCACAGUGUAAUGGUGUGUCCGAACGUCGUAACCGUGCUUUAUUAGAUAUGGUGCGAUCUAUGACGUCUCUUACUGAUUUACCGCUAUCGUUUUGGGGUUAUGCAUUAGAGACAGCUACAUUCACGUUAAAUAGGGCACCAUCUAAAUCCGUUGAGACGACACCGUAUGAACUAUGGUUUGGCAAGAAACCUAAGCUGUCGUUUCUUAAAGUUUGAGGUUGCAAUGCUUAUGUGAAAAAGUUUCAACCUGAUAAGCUCAAACCCAAAUCGAAGAAGUGCGUCUUCAUAGGAUACCCAAAAGAAAAUGUUGGGUACACCUUCUAUCACAGAUCCGAAGGCAAGAUAUACGUUGCUGAGAAUGGAUCCUUUCUAGAGAAGGAGUUUCUCUCGAAAGAAGUGGGUGGGAGGAAAGUAGAACUUGAUGAGGUAACUGUACCUGCUCCCUUAUUGGAAAGUAGUUCAUCACAGAAAUAUGUUCCUGUGACUACUACACCAAUUAGUGAGGAAGCUAAUGAUGAUGAUCAUGUAACUUCAGAUCAAGUUGCUACCAAACCUCGUAGGUAAACCAAAGAGAGAUCCCCACCAGAGUGGUAUGGUAAUCCUGUUCUGGAGGACAUGUUACUUGACCAUGACGAGCCUACGAACUAUGAGGAAGCGAUGAUGAGCCUAGAUUCCGCGAAAUGGCUUGAGGCCAUGAAAUCUGAGAUGAGAUCCAUGUAUGAGAACAAAGUAUGGACUUUGAUUUACUUGCCCAUUGAUCGGCGAGCCAUUGAGAUUAAAUGGAUCUUCAAGAGGAAGACGGACGCUGAUAGUGGUGUUACUAUCUACAAAGCUAGAAUUGUCGCAAAAAGGUUUUUCGACAAGUUCAAGGUGUUGACUACGAUGAGAGUUUCUCACUCGUAUCUAUGCUUAAGUCUAUCCGAAUCAUGUUAGCAAUUGCCAAUUUUAUGAAAUCUGGCAAAUGGAUAAACAAAAAUACAUUCCUUAAUGGAUUUAUUAAAGAAGAGUUGUAUAUGAUGCAACAAGAAAGUUUUGUCAAUCCUAAAGGUGCUAACAAAAUAUGCAAGCUCCAGCAAUCCAUCUAUGGACUGGUGCAAGCAUCUCAGAGUUGGAAUAUACGCUUUGAUAAGUUGAUCAAAGCAUAUAGUUUUAUACAGACUUGCGGUGAAGCCUGUAUUUACAAGAAAGUGAGUGGGAGCACUACAGUAUUUCUAAUAAGUAUAUGUGAAUGACAUAUUGUUGAUCGGAGAUAAUGUAGAAUUAUUCUGCAAAGCAUAAAGGAGUGUUUGAAAGGAGUUUUUCAAAGAAAGACCUUGGUGAAGCUGCUUACAUGUUGAGCAUCAAGUUCUAUAGAGAUAGAUCAAGACGCUUGAUAAGUUUUUUUCAAUGAGUACAUACCUUGACAAGAUUUUGAAGUAGUUCAAAAUGGAAUAGUCAAAAAGGAGUUCUUGCCUGUGUUACAAGGUGUGAAGUUGAGUUAGACUCAAAACCCGACCACGGCAGAAGAUAGAGAGAGAAUGAAAGUCAUUCCCUAUGCCUCAGCCAUAGGUUCUAUAAAGUAUGGCAUGCUGUGUACCAGACCUAUUGUAUACCCUGCCCUGAGUUUAGCAAAGGAGUACAAUAGUGAUCUAGGAGUAGAUCACUGGACAUUGGUCAAAAUAUCCUUAGUGGAAUAAGGAUAUGUUUCUCGAUUAUGGAGGUGACAAAAGGUUCGUCGUAAAGGGUUACGUCGAUGCAAGUUUUGACACUGAUCCAGAUGACUCUAAGUCUCAAUCUGGAUACAUAUUGAAAGUGGGAGCAAUUAGCUAGAGUAGCUCCAUGUAGAGCAUUGUUGACAUAGAAAUUUGCAAAAUACUUACGGAUCUGAAUGUGGCAUACCCGUUGACUAAACUUCUCUCACAAGCAAAACAUGAUCACACCUCAGUACUCUUUGGGUGUUAAUCACAUAGCAAUGUGAACUAGAUUAUUGACUCUAGUAAACCCUUUGGGUGUUGGUCACAUGUCGAUGUGAACUAUGGGUGUUAAUCACAUGGUGAUGUGAACUAUUGAUGUUAAAUCACAUGGCGAUGUGAACUAGAUUAUUGAAUCUAGUGCAAGUGGGAGACUGAAGGAAAUAUGCCCUAGAGGCAAUAAUAAAGUUAUUAUUUAUUUCCUUAUAUCAUGAUAAAUGUUUAUUAUUCAUGCUAGAAUUGUAUUAACCGGAAACAUAAUACAUGUGUGAAUACAUAGACAAACAGAGUGUCACUAGUAUGCCUCUACUUGACUAGCUCAUUGAUCAAAGAUGGUUAUGUUUCCUAACCAUAGACAUGAGUUGUCAUUUGAUUAAUGGGAUCACAUCAUUAGGAGAAUGAUGUGAUUGACUUGACCCAUUCCGUUAGCAUAGCACUUGAUCGUUUAGUUUGUUGCUAUUGCUUUCUUCAUGACUUAUACAUGUUCCUAUGACUAUGAGAUUAUGCAACUCCCAUUUACCGGAGGAACACUUUGUGUGCCACCAAACUUCACAACAUAACUGGGUGAUUAUAAAGGUGCUCUACAGGUGUCUCCGAAGGUACUUGUUGGGUUGGCAUAUUUCGAGAUUAGGAUUUGUCACUCCGAUUGUCGGAGAGGCAUCUCUGGGCCCUCUCGGUAAUGCACAUCACUUAAGCCUUGCAAGCAUUGCAACUAAUGAGUUAGUUGCAGGAUGAUGUAUUACGGAACGAGUAAAGAGACUUGCCGGUAACGAGAUUGAACUAGGUAUUGAGAUACCGAUGAUCGAAUCUCGGGCAAGUAACAUACCGAUGACAAAGGGAACAAUAUAUGUUGUUAUGCGGUCUGACCGAUAAAGAUCUUCGUAGAAUAUGUGGGAGCCAAUAUGAGCAUCCAGGUUCCGCUAUUGGUUAUUGACCAGAGACGUGUCUCGGUCAUGUCUACAUUGUUCUCGAACCCGUAGGGUCCGCACGCUUAAGGUUUCGAUGACAGUUAUGUUAUGAGUUUAUGAGUUUUGAUGUACCGAAGGAGUUCGGAGUCCAGGAUGAGAUCGGGGACAUGACGAGGAGUCUCGAAAUGGUUGAGACGUAAAGAUCGAUAUAUUGGACGACUAUAUUCGGACAUCGGAAAGGUUCCGAGUGAUUCGGGUAUUUUUCGAAGUACCGGAGAGUUACGGGAAUACGUAUUGGGCCUUAUUGGGCCAUACGGGAAAGAAGGAAAAGGGCCUCAAGGGUGGCCGCACCCCUCCCCUUGGUCUGGUCCGAAUUGGACUAGGGAAGGGGGGCACCCCCUUCCUUCCUUCUCCUUUUCCCUUCCUCUUUUCCUAUUCCAUAUGGGAGGUGGAAUCCUACUAGGACUAGGGAGUCCUAGUAGGACUCCACACUUGGCGCGCCCCCUCCUAGGGCCGGCCUCCUCCUCCCUUGCUCCUUUAUAUACGGGUGCAGGGGGCACCCUAAAGACACAACAAUUGAUCAUUUAUCUCUUAGCUGUGUGCGGUGCCUCCUUCCACCAUAAUCCUCGAUAAUAUUGUAGCAGUGCUUAGGCGAAGCCCUGCGACGGUAGAACAUCAAGAUCGUCACCACGCCGUCGUGCUGACGGAACUCUUCCCCGACAUUCUGCUGGAUCGGAGUCCGGGGAUCGUCAUCGAGCUGAACGUGUGCUAGAACUCGGAGGUGCCAUAGUUUCGAUGCUUGAUCGGUCGGGCCGUGAAGACGUACGACUACAUCAACCGCGUUGUGCUAACGCUUUCGCUUUCGGACUACGAGGGUACGUAGACAACACUCUCCUCUCUCGUUGCUAUGCAUCACCAUAAUCUUGCGUGUGCGUAGGAAAUUUUUUAAAAUUACUACGUUCCCCUACAAUUCCAUCGUGAAAUGUGUGACUAGCAUACUCAUAUGCAACCCCAAAAUGACUUGGUUGAGCACAUGUGGACUCACAUUGACAACCAGUAGAUAUAGUGGUUCAUUUUAGUUCCAUGUAUUCAACACAAUUUUGAUUGGGUUGUAAAAUUAUAUGAUUGUGUUUUCAUUAGGUUGUGAAACUAGUUGCAGUGUUUUCUUUAUUUAGUUGUAAAACUGUUUGCAUUGUUUAGUAUAAAAACCAUCUACUUUGGCUUACGGCUAACGCCAACUGGGCGUUGGGUGACCAGUCGGCGCAUCCAAAAAAAAUGGCCGGACGCAAUCCUUUAUCUGAUUCAAAUAGGUAAUCUGAACCAAUAUUCAUUUGAGGUCGUGCGUUAGGCCAAAUCCAACGCACGACCCCAAACGGACGUUCAUUUUGUCCAGAUUUUGUCCGUUUGGGGUGGCAAUGGGGCCAUGCCCGCCCGGAUUUGGGUAUGCGUCGUCCGGGGGCCAACGCCCGGCUGCAUCUUGCCCCCGUGCAUGCAAAAGUGAGAAACCUAGGAUUUAAGCCGCGGACGCGGUUCACACUAGUUUACGCCGGCUGGCAACAUAGUCGGCGGCCUACAGUCUGAUGCCGGCAACAAAGCCAGCAGCCGACAUAGGAGCCAGCCUUUAAAAAGGACAUGUUUCACGCCGGCAACAAAGCCAACGGCUGGCACACGAGCCAACCUUGAAAAUGGACAAGUUUUGUCACCGUCAAUAAAGCCAGUGGCCGGCACACCAACCAGCCUUCAAAAAGGACCGCCAUCGCGGCCGAGGUCUCACCUAGAUCCGACCCUCGCGGGUGAACAUCUCCUUUUGCCAGUUCAUGAACCAAGCCUUCCUCUCCGGUGACAUGUUGUUCUUGUCGACGAUCAUCAACGCUAGUGCCACCUCCUUGGCUUUUGUGUCGGCAUUGGUGGCCUCGGUCUCUAGCUUCUUGAGUUGAGUGGCCUCCUCGAUGUCGAGCUUCCUCUUCUUCAUGGCCUCCUCCAUGUCAAGCUUCUUCGUUUGAAGAUCUAGCUUUAUCUUCAUUUGCUCCUCAUUUCCUCCCGCAUUUCCUCUUGGCUCAUCAUAUCCUCCAAAGUUCCUUGCAAGGCUAUAGAAGACGCAUCACGCUUCUCGUCGGCCUUCGAGCUUGUAUUGCCCCUCGGCGUCUUGAGCACGUCUCCCACAUCGGCCACGGCCACCGCCUUCUCUCCUCUCUUCUUCCUAAGAGCAUUGUAUUGGUCCUUGAACUUGGGGCAAUCUUUGAUGAGCACCCAACAAUGUGUGAGAGUGAAUGGCUUAUCUUUGUGCCGGGCCUUGAAGGCUUCCAAAGAUUGGAAUGCCUACACAACCAAACAUGCGACUACAAUUGUAACAUGAAAGGACAUAGAAUGCAUGAAACUUAAAUGGCAUGCCAACAUGAAUGGACACAUGAUGAAAAAGAGAGAGGUUCAUACCAAGUUACCAAGGCCUAGGCCGCUCACAGGACGGGCUUUGACGCUCUCAAGCGUGGCACAAUAUUUGUUGCAUUCUUGUUGGAUGAAUCCCCACCUUUUUUGGAUUGAAUUAAUGCCGCGGGUGCUUGUGAAUUGGUAGGGGGCAAACUUUCUUCGCUCAUGAAAGUUCUUGUGAACUCUUGUCCAAAAGAUGGCUCCUUUUUGCUCGGCACCUUUGAUUGGAUCUUGGUCAAUUUCCUUCCAACUCUCGCAAAUCAAAGUGUCCUUAGCUUUGGUAUAUGACCCCGUGCGAAUGUUUUUCCUCCUCUUUUGUGCUUCAGGCUUUUGAGUGAGCUCGUCGAUAAACAACAAUGGCUCCGCAAAAAUGUCGACCUCUUCUUCUUCAUCUUCACAAUACAAGUCAUCAUCUUCAUGCCAUGAGUUGCCAUGGUCGUCCUCAUCACCAUCAUCAUGGCCGCCGAACUGAGAGUCAUCAUAGGUACCACGGUUGUCCUGGCUUUGGGUCGUGUCGGCAUCAAAAGCUUGCUCUUGGCCGUCGACGUGGAACGCCUCACCACGGCCCUCCAAGAUGACGUUCUGCAUGAAAGAGGCGUAGUAAGGGUCGCUGACCAUCAGCGUCUGUGUCGGCGGUUGCAUUUCGUCGAACAGUUUGCGGGCUCCGGCCAUGUGAGCCGACACGAACGACCGGUGUUGCUUCGUUUGCGCGUCGUCUUCACAAUGGUCGGCGCCACUGUACCAUGGCAUGAUGUUGAGGUCGAUGACGCCCGCGGACGUGGUCGGAUCGACCACCACGAAGUCCGGCGACGUAGAGAAUUGUGUCUGCCCAUAGCCGUGCGGCGGCGGAGCACGAACAUUCGACGUGUCGUGUGAGAUGGACGAGCUCGGGGAACGGUGUUGUGGUGGUCGAUGGGCCGAGGAGACUGUGCUUGCCGCGGCCAUGGCAGCGGCCAAGAGAUUGGUCGGCGUGGGGUGGCCCAUACCCAUCAUGAGGAGGGCGUGCGCCUUGGAGAUGAUGGACUCCUUGUCGUCAAGGUUGGCCUGGUACUGCAUCGCACGCCGCAAGGCACACUCGGAAGCAUACUGCACGGCGGCCUUCUUCUCCUUUUGGACAGUUGGUUCCUCCUCUUGGUCGAUUCGGCAUCGAGCUUGGCGGGCCCCGCCGGCAUGAGCUCCGACCGAGGCGUCUUCACAUGCUUCAUUUUCUUCGCCACAGGCCGGGCGGCAGGUGGUGGGUCGCCGGGAUUCGCCUCGUCGGCCAUGGUGGGUGGAGGGAGGGGGAAGGGCGGGGCGCGGGAGCGUUUUGGAGAAAAGGGAGGGAAAGUGGCUGUCUGUGUCAUCGACGGGCGGGCCAGGAGAGGACAAGGUGCACGUCGCACCCAUCUGCAUGCUGUUCGUUCAGCUGCAAACUCGGCUUAAUUUUGGACCGAAAAUGGGUCAAAAACAGACAAAAAACAAACGAUGAUUCGUUUGCGGUCGCGCGUUAGAAGGCCUGCUUUGUCUGUUUAUCCCCACACGGACACGGGCGAACAUGACGAGGUCGCGCGUUGGAGUACAGUUGCUUAAUAUCCUCUCUCCUGCUGUGUGUCAGCGGCCUGCGGAGGCCUCAUCGCUUCAGCGAGCAAAGCCCACAAGGAAGCCGGAAAAGUCCAUGACAUCUGAACCCUGACCUGAACUCGAUUGGGUCUGACGGCGAAAGAAAGGAAAGAAAAUUAGCAAAUCUGCGGCGCGUGCCGGCCGGCCGGCACGGAGGGGCAGUGGGGGUGUAGCCCGGAAACCGGCGCUCACACAGAGGAGGCACAGCGCGCUGCGAAAGUCAAAUCACACACUAGCGCACGUUGAAAAGUACUCCACGUACGUGCCUUUUUAUUGUCCCAUUCCUAUCACAUCAGCCUGCACAUUUCGCUAUGGCCACGGUCCCCGGGUACCACGGGCGUCGCCGAGAUGCGCUGCCGGAGAGUGGAGGGGAGCGGUACGUUCCACUACUCCACAUGAAAAGGUACAGUGGUUUUUGUCCAAAAGAAAGUGCAGUGUGUCAUCAUGUAAACUUUUAUGGUUUUAUUUAUUUUCUUUAUUUAUAUUCCAUAUUUAUUUAAGCUUAACAUUAUUUACAACAGAACGUGUGGAUUCUAAGUUAAUGGUGCUUAAAAUUUCCCAUUUGUAAAAUUAUGUAAUAAAAUUGAUUUUGUGUGCGAAUUAAUCUGUGAUUGGAUAGUUACGAGAAAAGUGGUGCUAUGCAUCCGAGUUUCUCAUAUUUCAUCCAUUAGAUCCACGCAAAUCAUGUAAAAGAAAUCCUACUUACUACGCACGUCAUGCUAGUUACUAUGCUUCAUCGUUGGAGAUGUCCACGACGUCAGAGCCGAGCACCGGUAGAUGGGCGCGUAGAAGGGCUCUGGAUCCUCCUCAUCCAUAUACGUGAGAAUCUUGUCAAGUUCCGUGGUGUUCUCCGCCUUCGCCUCAUGCCAACGACAGCGUUUGGCGUCCGCCUCCGAUUCCGAUCAGAGGGAAUCGAGGACCACCUGUUGCUCCGCCUGCAAAUCCGCAUCCCAAGCGUCCCCCACAUCAUCCUCCUGAUCCGCGUCCUCUUGCACCACUACCUCCUCCUCCACCACCUACAAGUCCUCCUCCGGAUCCACCGCGUCUGGAGGUAGCCCGUGGCAAUCCAGGCUUCGCGCCUUGCCCGGAUCUGCUCAAGGAGCUGCAGCCGACGCUCUUGCGUUAGAUAUGGGUAGCUCCUUACCCGACGACGUGGGGGCAUGGCUACUAUAGGUGGCGAACGACGAUUGGAAAGUGGCGGUGACGGCGGACGGGAGGGGGGAAAUGCGGAUGGUAGGGUUUCAAUGCAGGCGGCCGGCUUAAAUAGCCGGGCUAGGGCAUUACGCGGCCCGUCGGAGUGGCGCCACACGGCGUCAUCGGUCCGACGGAAGUGACGAGUUUCGGACCGCUGGCUUUCAGAGUGUUUUCGUGUGCGACCCCGUCGUCAGUCCGCGCGUGGCGGACUCGCCCGGUCGCACCCGGGCCUCCCCAUAUCCGCCCAUAUUUGGGCUGGAUAUAAGGAGUGCCGGCCAGCCUGGUCGUUUGAGGCCCGUUUGAAGCACCCGUCUGGGUCGGGUUUUUGAUUGGUCACUGAUCGGGUUGUCCACCCGGUUGUUUGAGGGUGGUUUGGGGCACCCUGUUGUAGAUGCUCUGAGCCCACUAGAGUUCAAGUCCUAAAAUUGACAGUGAUGCUCGCAUUUUCUAAAUUUAUUUCAGGCCUUUCAGCGAUGUGCGUUCAGUGGAAGGAGACGUUCCCAUCGACUAUGAAUGUGUCUAUGACGACUUCGUCAAUCUUGAGAUGAUGUGCCGACUCAAUCUUUUGGGAGUGCUCAUAAGGAUAGGGUGUGCACGAGUGUGUUCAUAGGAGUGAGUAUAUGUGCAUAUGUAUGAGCGUAUGCAUGUGUAAUGUGUUCAAAAACACAAAACAUCAUCUAUGAAUCUCAACACAAGACAUCAAAUGGUUCAAGGUUAACUUAGAUAUGAAAAUACGGCAAAAAGAUUUAGACAUGACAAACCCCUCAGAUGACUCAUAUUUAGCGAAACAGGAAAACUACAUUCUUUCCCGAGUGUGCAUUCAUGUCAUUGUCUUGGCCCAGGUUUUGAGUUUUGGUUUCUAAAACUUGUGAUUUUAUCGGUCGCUCAUUCCAAGUUUCAGAGCUUUAACUUCACGGUUAUGAAUUUUUUUUUCAGUCGCGAGUACUGGAACUUACAAUUUUCUUGGUCGCUCGUACUAAGUUUCAGAAGUUGAAACUUCAUGAAACUUUUUAAAAUCGCCAAACGCAUUCGAAGUGUAUCUCAUUUGAAAGCCCUCAUCACCAGAAACAUGAAUAUGAAAGUAGAAGUUAAUUUAAACUUUUGGUUUAAAAUAUAUGAAAGUUUGAACAUCAAAAGCCGAAACCAAAAGAGGGUUGCGUGCCCCCGCACCUAUGUGCUAUAUAUCCUCUCCCGUAAACAAUCCCUUGCUCUGGUUCUUGUGUGCACGAUCUUCAGGUGCAGGUGUGCAGCCAUGGAGGACAGGGUGCGACAACAUGGAUGUUUAGCCAUGGAGGGGUGGUUAUUGGCCUUCCACCCGUGCAGUGUCUGACUGACGACGCUAUGGUCCACAGCUUGGUGGUGGUGAUCUAGAUCCGAUUCGACGGAUGAUGGUAACUACAAACUAAACUAAUCCUCCCGUCGGUGCCGCCGCGGUUCCACCCUGCCUCCGAUGGCCUUUGGGCCGUGGAGGCGCGGAGGAUCUUGCCCCCCUCCCCGCCGACAGGGAGGGCCCUUGAUGUCGUUUUUGUUAGGUUCAAUGUCUUGGUUGGGGUUGCGUGGUGGUGGCGAUAUCUCUCGGUAGGAAUAAUGUCUUCCACGUCUGAUCCCCGUCCUGAUGGUGCUUAUAGCUUCAUCAGAUGGCGUGUGAAGGUGUGUCAUUGUCGGUGCUAGUCUUUGACGGAUCUAUUUAGAUCCAGCUUUCGUUCGUCUUCGUUCGUGUGGUUACAGGUUUGAUCUUUUCUAUCUACGACUCUCAUCAUCGGUGACAGUUGCUGCUUUAGUUCGCUGGUCCUUUGGGGCCUUAACACGACAACUUGCCGACUGUCUACUACAAUAAAGUUUGACCGUCUCCGGUAAAGGAGGGGCGAUAACGGUGACAUGACUUUGGCUCGCUCCAGUGUCUGUAGUCGUCGCUAGGAGGUCCAUUGAACUGGUUAUAAUUUUUACCUUAGUCUUCCUUGUAUGCCAUGAUUGAUUAUGAAUAGAUCGAAAAAAAUUCUCGCAAAAAAGAAAUCCACACCUUGUCGAAAAAAUAUUUCUCCCGUGAUAUAAUACGAACAAAGAAAUCUCGGCUUAAAUCCACGUAACAUGCCUCUAGAGUACGUAGUACAGUAUCAGCAUACUGGUACAUGUUACUUUGCAGGGUGUGCACUGCAAUAUCGUCACGCUCAGAGCAGAGGCAUCUCAUCACUCACCCCUCCCUACCAUAAUUGUACCUUGGCAUCUCAUCUCCGGGUAGGCGUACAAGGGAAGGGACACUCACAAGAGGAGGGAGGUCUCCUCCAAGUCAAUGGCCCUGCCACCCUGCCAGUGCCAUCCUCCAAAUAAUUCCGGUUUUUAAUGGCGCUCUGCUCCUAUCCAUGGCCAUGCCUCGGAUCCAUCCGCCGCGAACCAGAGUCGACGACGAAUCUAUGUCGACCCAUUCCGGGCAGGAGCCACCCGGAAACGAGCACGCACGGCAAACGGCCACUAAAUGCAACGACGAGACGUACUCGCGAAUAUAGCCACGCCCAGCUGACCGGUCGACCUUCCUAAUCUGCUUCCCCGCAAAAAAAUAGAAACAAACUUCCUAAUCUGCUCGUCCCUUGCCUUGGCUAAGCGCCUUGGCUACUGCUUAUGGUUUUUUUGUCUCUACUAGAACAGUGUCCGUGCUUUGGAACGGGUAUAAAUAUUCUAGUAUGUUAUCUUGUGAAUUAUCUUAUAUUUUGAUUAGAAAUUUGGUAAGUAAAUUAAAGUGAAUUGGUUCAAAAGGUAAGUAAAUUAAGGUGAUUGAUUAUCAUAUACAUGAGAGACUGAACGACAGGGUGAUAAAAAGAAAGCUGAAAUGAGAACCUUGCAUUCUUUUUAAGUAAUAUAUAAGAUUAUGAAAGUUCACCAAAUAUAAAACAUCUCAAACAUAAUAAAAAUAUAUAUGAGGUCCGUGGACCAUCAAACGAACAAUGUUGUCGCUAGACGAGCCAUUGUCGUUGCUCUUAUACCGAAGCCGGCUCCACCUUUUCGAUGACAUCUGGAAAGUUUUCCUGCACGAUCCCCUAAAAACCAACACCCUAUGCCACAGUCGUUGUCAAACCAUUGAUCGUUCCGAAGAAUCUGACACCAAAAUUUUGUCAUCGUGUACGCACGACGAAAAACCCUAACCUCGUCACCUUGACGAGCCGACGGGAAUCUACGCUAGAGCUCUGCUGAAUCCGUCCUGACAGACAAACGGAUUGGAGCAGAAAGAUCGACUCGAAGAUAAAGCGUCACCCUGUGAGGACUAAAACUUGAACCUAUCAACUAAUCGUAGCCAAGGCAUCAAUUCCCUGCCACCGUCGGUCGGAGCGGCCGAUAAAGGGGAAGUGAAUCCAUGGCCUCAUUGGUGAAGACUGAGGGGAUGAAGACUUUGCCCUAGUCGCCUUGCGAGAGAAAAAGAAAAAUCUCACUUUAUCGAUUUGGAUGUGAAUUUAAUGGGAAAGAAAAAAAAUUAGUGGUUAUGGAUUUCCUGUGAAUUUCGUAGGAAACCCGACAUUUUUUAAUCAAAACUUGUGGGACACAUUGGAAGAAUACGUGCAUUUGUGUGAAUGAACUCAAGGGUUAGUUUGAAUUAUGUUUUUACAUCAUUUCUCCUGCUUAAUAUAUGAGGUUUUAUGCAGUUCAUGUUUUUGGCGGGGAGGUUUUAUUCAAUUCUUUGGCCAGCUCGCUAUUCAGAAUAUGAUUUCUUUGUCAAUGAUGAAGUAACCUAUUUUAUGCCAAUGCAUGCCCGUGAUACAGUCACGCACGACCAUGAGAGAAAUAUUCAGGAUUCGCAAAAGAAAAUAGUGGAAGAAAUGUUCAGUAAUUUGAUGGUCAGAGGAAGCUUUACCCUUGAUUGAAAUACAAGUCAUUAUGGUGAGUAGAAAUGUUCAGCAAUUUGAUGGUCAGAGGAAGCCAUUGUUACCCUGGAUUGAAACAGUAGUAGCAGCCAUUAUGGUGAGUAGGAGAGAUGGCACGAUCAGACUCCGCCAUGCAGCAAAGCUGUCAGGUCAGGUCCAACCUUUGAACCAACGGGACAACCAUUGUGAAACCAGAAACCAUGAUGUCGAUCGAUCUGGCAAGCGCCUUCCGGCCGGUCAAGGAUGCGUUUGGUUGAAGGUGUCGUAUGAAUGGGUUGGGACCGUUCAAUUUUGUUGGGAUUGAACCAUUCAAUUCAUGUGUCUGGCUGAAUAUAAGUGGUGAGCUAAUUAUUUAGGACGAGACCACCAGUCAUGCUCACAUAGUCAUGCAUGCAAAGGGUGGCCAUUUGAUUCGACCGAUUUGGUUGGGUGGAACGGUUCAGCAUCUUCAUGGCAUAUUCUCUUUUUUGGCUCGAACCAUUCAUGUGCUUUAUAACCAAACAUGUCUAUUUUCUGAACGAUCCCAACCCAUUCAUGACCGCCCUUGCAACCAAACGCACCCCAAUGCAACCAAUCACCCUCUGAGACCCCAGCGAAUAAAUAUCUCAUCGGUCGACUUGGUCGACGGCCGCGAUAAUGACACGACACUCGCACGGACAGCCAUAUUAUUUCCUUGGGUGGAAAUAUCGACAUCUAUUCUAUUCUAUUCUUUCUUUCUUUCUUUUGGAAUCACUAAUUAACAUGUGAUGAAUAAGGCGUGCACAUUUUGGGACUUCACUCUGAUCAUCAAAUUAGACAAAUAGUAUAUAAAUUAUAUGAGUUAAAAAUUAUACCAAUGUUAAGUUUUUUUGGAUAUAGAUUUGACGGCAUACCUUUUGUUGAACAUAACCACAUUUUGUUGGUUAAAUUGAUGGUCAAACUUGAUUCUUCAAAUGUGUGUGCACCUUAUUCAUUAGAAUGAACGAAGCAUGCACAAAGGUCACCACAACGUGGAAAAAAUGUCGGAAUGCCGUGCGCCUGUUGCUUGCCAUUCGACGCGGAGAGUGCGAUGGGUAGUGCAAAAGGUUUUCUUUUGCAAAGGCAAUUGUUGUAUUUUGAACAAAAUACAAUAAGGCCUUCUUUGGUUUGGAGGAAUUUCAUUGGAAUUCUAUGGGAUAAGAAUUUUGUAGGAAAAAAAUUCUUUGGAGUCCUUUGAUUUGUAGGAAUGGAUUCCAAUUCAUAUGUAGGAUAGAAAUCAAACAUUCACAUUUUGAAGGAAAAAAACAUUUGCCCAGACUCAAUGGAAAAGUUCUUAUCAUUUACAUCGAAUGACAUCUUUUUCUCAAUAGGAAUUGAGACGCAUGUCAUCACACUUCCUAUGAUUUUCCUAUUCCUGUGAUAGGAAUCAAUUCUUCACAUUUUGAAGGAAAAUAACAUUAGCCUAAACUCAAUGAAAAAGUUCUUAUCCUUUGCAUCAAAUGACAUAUCUUUCUCAAUAGUAAUUGAGAUGCACGUCAUCUCAAUUUCUAUGAUUUUUCUAUUUCCGUGAUAUUCCUAUCCUAUGAACCAAACAGACAUGCAUCUCAAUUCCAAUAAGAAAGAUUUGUCAUUCAAUGCGUAAGAUAGGAUUUUUUUCAUUGAGUCUAGAUUAAUGUUUUCUUUUUCUUUUAAUGUGAAGGAUUGGGUCCUAUCCUACAUAAGAAUGGGAAUCCAUUCCUACAAACAAAAGGGCUUUGUAGGAUAUUUUUUUCUUUGUAAAUCCUAUCCUAUAGAAUUCCUACAAAAUUCCUAUAAACCAAACGAGGCCUAAAUUGAUUCUCACUGUUGUAUUUAACAAUAUUUAUCAUGGCAUGGUCUUUCUUGCAUAAAGAAUUUUUUAGAAUAUAUCAUUGCACUUUAUUUAUCAUCCCAUGCCAAGGACCUCGUCCAAAAUAAAAUAUAAAAUACAGUGUGAUGGCUCUUGAAGCCAGAACCUAUUGAGUUCUUGAGAAACACCCUCUCUAGCUAAAAUAUGAGCCCCUUUAUUACGUGAUCUCCUAAUUAACCCAAGUUGCUUUAAACUCGAUAAAGGAUUGCAACAUCUUUUUUACAUCCUCGAUAAUUGGGCCCACCAUCAAGAGAUUCUUCGUCGUAUCAUUGAUCAUCGCUGCAACUGCCUUGUUAUCAACCUCCACGUCAACCUUUGUAGCUCUUGUUGGGUUGGCAUUUGCAUCGUCUUUCGACAAGCCAGGGCUUCAACAAUUUCAGAGUCAGAGAUGCCCCGGAACACGCAGGAACGUGCCUCCCCUAAACGCUCCAUGAUGCCGGAAAGGAUGACAGGCGUGUAUUGAAUAGAAACAACCAUUACUAUGACUUACAUACAAGAAUAAGAAGUUAAAGGCAAAUCCGUGAUGAAAUCAACAUUGUUUCCUCUCACAUCCAAUGGCGGUGCACUGUGAGCAAAGAUCAUUCCUGCAUCUUGGUCUGUCUCACCGGAACAACCUUAUUGAAAUUCGAGAACUUGUACAAGCAGUGUCGGGAAGUCGGCGAUGUCGACGAAAAAACGUCGGUGAUCGCAAACUGGAUAGAUCGUUAUCCCAAAGAAGACAACACUUGGGAGGGCUAGAAGAAAAUCCCAAAUCCGUAGAGAUGCAGACCUCACAAGUUCUCCGAUUGAGUCUUAUUUGACUGACCUUCACGAGGUAGUGAUGGAACAAUAGAACAAGAACAUACAACAAUGGCAUGUCCUCCACGGGGCACCACUGCCGUGAGCAAACACAAAUCAAGCUAGACCGGGUAUCUAACGAUUCACCAAACAUCAACAUGGGGAAGACCAAGGAACCAUCAUUCCCAUUGCCGCCACUGCCUCGACUUCACCAAGGGCGAAGAACUCGUCAACCCUUCAUGACACGGACCAGAUACUCAAAUCUGCCUCCCCCAUCCCCCUACUACUGCAACAGCCGAUAGGGGCCAGGGGAACUCAUGGUGGCGCCAACGAGUCGAGUGAAAAGCUAGUCAGCUCCUGGUUGCCUCAUCUCUGUCAAACCUUAGAAAAAUAGUUCAGCGGGUCGAUUUGUUAGUUUGCCUUGUGGUACUUGACAAAACUUUGCUUUUUUCAAUGUGAAUAUUUUGAUGCAAACUUUCUAAUGGAUUUUUUUGUCACACACGUAUUACCAAGGUGAUGUCUGUAGGAGGCAAAAAUAGGUCAAAAUACGCUAAACUUUUUGUCUUAGAUAAAUGCAUGUUUUGGCCUAAGUUCUUCUUCAAUUAUCCGUAUGAAAAAUAGAAAUAGAAGGCAAUUGUAGUUUUGAGUAGCUGAUAUCACAUGUGGUAUUAUGUUUCGGGCGAGUCCAUCUUUCCACCUAUGGACUUAUAUUCAUCAUUUGUAAGAAAGUAGAAGCACUUGUGUUGUGACUCAACAUAGCUGGUAGUAGCAGAUGCUACACCAUAUAUUACCAUGAUGCACUUAACAUAUGUUUGCUAAUUUCUGGUGCAAUUUACUUUAGUUGAUAUCGUCCUAGCAAAAGCCCUGAAAACCGCAAGAGCCGGAAACGAGUGAAACUAAAGCGCAAAACCCAUGAAUGAUUAAAGUUAGACAUGCACAUGGUUUCCUAGGAGGAUGACACUUGUUGAUCAUGUCGCGCUCCCCCAAGCAUACAUGCUAGAUACGUGCUUCUUUUCCGUAUGAAAACAUGAACAAUAAAUUGUAUUCACUCACCGCUAUAAUAUCAUUGGCACAAGAAUUGCAUGACCAAAGCAAAUUGAUUCUCUUUCGAACUUCUGCCAUGUAAUGAGGCUCCAAAGGCGCUUCAUAUCUUAAAUCGUCCAUGUGUUUAUAUCAUUUUCUUGCGCAUAAGACAUUGUGCUUUCCUCGAGGAGUCCGUCCUAGUUUCACCAAGGACGAAUAACCUUUCACCUUACGUGACACAUACCCGAACACUCAGAUUCGGGGUUCCCCAAUCCUCCUGCCAACCCAGUGGUUGGCAGAGGCCAUUGGAACUCACGACAUUGACACAUCAAGGGGAAUGAUUCACCGGGUCGAUUUGGUAGUUUGCCUCUUGGCAUGAUCUCAAAUACCAGAUACAAACUCUGUUUUUGUUUAAACAUCAAUAUUCGAUGCAAUCUUCUGGUAACCCCCUCUCUAGCAAACCCUACAGAAAUGAUUCACCGGGUCGAUUUGGUAGUUUGCCUCUUGGCAUGAUCUCAAAUACCCGAUACAAACUCUGUUUUUGUUUCAACGUCAAUAUCCAAUGCAAUCUUUCUAAUGCUUGUUAUAUUUAGGUGCAAUUUACUUGAGUCCAUAUCGUUCUAGUAAAAGCCGUAAAAACCGAAAGAGCCUCAAAUGAGUGAAAUUGAAGCACAAACACCUCAAAUGAGCAAAGCUAGACAUGCGUGGGGUUUCCACAAAGGAUGACACACGUCGAUCGCACAAUGCUCCCGCCAGGCAUACCAGCUAGAUAUGUGCUUAUUUUUGGGAUGAAACCAUGGGCAAUAAAUUGUACUCACUCGUUGCUAUACCAUCGUCGGCAUAAAGGUUUGCAUGAGCGAAGCAUACAUAUUCCCUUUUUUAACUUCUGCCACGCAGCGAGGCUCGACGGGCGACUCCUAUUGUAUACCGUCCAUAGGUUUAUGUCCUUCCCUUACGCAAAACGACACAGUGCUUUUUUCGAGGAGUCUGCAAACCGUCCGUCCAUGUAUACACGCCAUAUCGUUUGGUGCGAAAAGUUGCCUGCAAACUCGUCCAAAGCCCCUAUAGUAUAUACGUUAAUCCUAACUUUGGAGGCGCUCGAUGAUUUCGUUUUUCUUGCGAGGGUGCUCUAUGAAACAUUUUACCAUGAGGAAAUAAUAAGAAACCGGCUUUCUAUUUUUUUACUGUAUUUAUGUGUGUGUGUUUUAUUGGAAGGACGGGGUUGGCAUCAAAAUUUCAAAAUGUAUACAGCCCGGUCGUCCAACCGAAAAAUGAUGUGCUGGAAACGGAGUAGGAGUGGUGUACUGGUAGCAGGAGGAGGAGUGAGGUCAGAUCUACAAGUGGUAGAGUAGCCACAGCCCACAGGCGCAUACAGAUACAGCCAUGCUGCGGUAGCCAGGUCGCGCGCCGCGCACACACAAUUGCCAACAUAUUCCGAGGGGAGGGCGCGGGUGGAAAUCCAGAUCCCGAAGCCAGGAAAUUCCACGCCCCCCGAAAGCCCAUAAAACCCACGCUCGCCCUCCCUCCCUCCCUCUGCCUUGCUGCGCCGGACUCCCUCACAGUCACGGAGGCGAAGGCGACGUUUUUCUUCUUCCCUUUUUACCAUGGAGGCAACCACCCAGGAGCGCCCCGCGCCGCCGCCGCCGUCGCCGUCGUCGGUGCAGAUGCAGCUGCCGCACGCGGCCGCCGACCCGUCCAACCCUUUCCCGACCACCUUCGUGCAGGCCGACACCACCUCCUUCAAGCAGGUCGUGCAGAUCCUCACCGGCACCCCGGAGACCGCGGCCGCGGCGGCGGCGGGGGGCGCGGCGGGCGCGCCGGCAGCUAAGCCGGCCCCCACGCCGACCGGGCCCAAGAAGCCGGCCUUCAAGCUCUACGAGCGGCGCGGCAGCAUGAAGAGCCUGAAGAUGCUCUGCCCGCUCCUCCCCGCCGCCUUCGCCGCCGGCGGCUCCGGUGGCUGCAGCGGGUUCUCCCCGCGGGGGUUCUCGCCGCGCGGGCUGGAGGUGCUGUCGCCCAGCAUGCUGGACUUCCCGUCGCUGGCGCUGGGGAGCCCCGUGACGCCGCUCCCGCCGCUGCCGGGGUCGCGGGAGGCAGCCGCGGCCGAGGACCGCGCCAUCGCCGAGAAGGGGUUCUACCUCCACCCCUCGCCGCGCGGCAAUGCCAGCGGCCGCGGCGACCUGACGCCGCCGCCCAGGCUGCUCCCGCUCUUCCCCUUGCAGUCGCCCACCCGGCAGUGAGCCUCGCCCGCUCCUUGCUGGUAUGCUCUGCUCUGCUCUGCUCACCCGGUCGCUGCUAAAAUGCUAGGCUCCCGGAGCGCGAGGUCGAUUCGAUCUGUGGAUUAUUUGCUCCUCUUCUCUCCCCGGGAGGAUCCGUGUAUGCCCCUGUGUUGUAAUCUUAGUGUCUGUAACAGCGAUUUGGCUCAUAAGAGGGAUUAAUUGAUCACUCCACCGGCCCGAGUGUUCUUUGUCUCUUUACCAUUGGCUAUUAGUAGUUUCAUACUGGCAGCAGUAGUAGUAGAUUUAGCUUGGCAUUUUCCUCUUCUCGCUUCGUGAACUUGUCUUGUCAUAUUACUAGUUUGGUGUUGCAAAUCUUGUACAUUAAAGCUGUU
rnacentral:lncRNA from 1 species